rnacentral:lncRNA from 1 species
UAUUCCCAGAGUUCGUAACUACGAUUGGGCUGAAAUAUCGAGGGGAUGUUUAUCUGGAUAUUAGCUUUCUUGUGGUCGAAGGACACCUCCAACCAACUUACAGGGUAGCCACAAGCCCUCUGAGCAUCGUCUCGCUGAUUCUUUUUUUUCUUCUAAAAAUCACAUAUAUUUCAAAAAUAUCUUCAUAAAUUUUUAUCGCAUUUGGACUUCAUUUGAUAUGGAUUUUCUACGAAACAAAAAUAUGCAACAAACAGGAGCUGGCAUCGGGCACUCAAUUAAUAUGUUAGUCCAAGAAAAUCAUAUAAAUUGUUGCCAAAAGUAUGUGAAAGUUGUAGAAUAUUGGCAUAAAAAAAUAAAAAUGUUAUGCGUAUCACACAUUUUGGUACACUGCCAAAGGCAUUCAUAUAGAGUCAUACUGUAGUAUUGAGUUGUAAGUAAAUAAAAGUGUGAUGACCAUAAUUAUUAGAGCAUUGUCCGAGUGAGGAAAGUAUGACGGAGAUGAUGAUACCCCCACAAGUCAGGAUGAGACUCCGGACGGAAAAAAGAGAGGCCAAAAGAGCCCACCAAAAAAAGGAGAGAUAAAGAGAGAAGGUGCAAUGUUACUAUCACUUUUCCACACUUGUGCUUCAAAGUAGCACCAUGUUCUUCAUAAAGAUAGUCUCCUAGUUGUCACUUUCAUAUACUAGUGAAAAUGUUUUAUUAUAGAACUUGGCUUGUAUAUUCUGAUGAUGGGCUUCCUCAAAUGCCUGAGAUCUUCAUGAGCAAGCAAGUUCGAUGCACACUCACUUAGGUUUCAUUGAGCUUUCAUGCAGUUAUAGCUCUUAGUGCAUUCGUUGCAUGUCAACCCUUACUCCUCGCGUUGAUAUAGAUUGAUGGGCCUCUUCAUAGUCCAUUGAUCCGUCGAGUUGAUGUGAGACCUUUUUUCCUUUUUGACCCCCUUAUGAUCUCGGGAGAAUAUCGUACGGAAACCAACAUUCGGUGGAAACCAAUGAAAACCACGAGACAAAGAUGUUUUGAAGUUUUGAAAAAAACAGAAAAAUUAUGAGAUGUUAAGAGAAUGGUGUUUUAUUGCCAAACAAAUUUUCAAGUUGAAACACAUUGUGAGAUGUCAGCUAUGAAAAAGAAAAAAUCGGCGUUGAAUAGUAAUGUCACUAUUCAGGGCUGAUUUUGCCUUUUUUGUAGCUCACAUCUCGCAAUGUGUUUGAACUUGAAUUUUUGCGUGGCAAUAAAACAUCACCUCCCUAACAUCCCUUAUUUUUUCAGAAUUUUUCUAAACUUUAAAGUAUGGUUUGCAUGAAGUUUUCGUUAAAUAUUGGUUUCCGUAUGAUAUUAUCCCUAUGAUCUCUACUAUAUCCAUGGCUCACGCUCAUAUAUUGCGUGAAGUUGAAAAUGUUGAAGCGCGUUCAAAGUACGAUCCAGUUACCUAGUUUGACACAUUGGUGCUCUUGAUUUAUAUUCAUGCGAUAAAGGCGGAGUCAUGUCAUGCUAACAUGAUAAUGAGUGGGGUAACAUUCAUUAAGGAUCGUAUAUUUUGAAAGUUUAAUGAUUAUGUUUCUUAUAUUCAUGGAUAUUAUUAUGUUGAUAUUGUUAAUUCAUUGUUUCUCAAUAUUUAUACUGAAAAUAGAUUACAGGGUACACAUGUUAGGUAGCUUUCAACAUCAAAAUUAUUAUUUUUAUCAUUUACCUACUUGAGGACGAGUAUGAAUUAUGCUUGGGGAUGCUAAUACGUCACCGACACAUCUAUAAUCUUUGAUUGUUUCAUGCUAUUAUAUUAUCAAUCUUGGAUGCUUUAUAUGCAUUUUUAUGCUAUUUUAUAUCAUUUCUGGGACUAACCUAUUAACCCAGUGCCCAGUGCCAGUUCAUGUUUUCUGGGUUUUUUCUACUUUUCAGGAAAUCAAUACCAAAGGAAGUCUAAAUGGAUUAAAACCUUUAAAUUAUUUUUUCGGGACCAGAAGGGACCCAUGAAGCUUCGGGAGGAGGCCAGAAGAGAUACAAGAGGGCCAUAAGCUCGUAGGCCCAACGGAACUCCGUUUGACCUAAUUCCACUUCUAUAAAUUUUCAAAUAUUCCCAAACCAUCCGAGGGGCACUCGAAGAAACUUUUCCACCACCGCAAGUCUUUGUUCUUCUGUGAUCACAUCUGGAGGCCUUCUCCGGUACUCUGCCAGAGUGGGAAACGAUCAUGGAGGGCUUCUACAUCAACCUUUUUGCCCUUCUGAUGUGUGAGUAGUUCACCAUAGACCUACAGGUCCAUAGCUAGUAGCUAAAUGGCUUCUUCUCUCUCUUGGAUCUUCAAUACCAUGUUCUCCUCGAUCUUCUUGGAGUUCUAUUUGAUGUAGUCUCCUUUGAUGUCUUUGUUGGGAUCCGAUGAAUUUUGGGUUAUUGAUCAGAUUAUUCAUUGAAAGUAAUUGAGUCUUCUCUGAACUCUUUUGUGUAUGAUUGUUAUAGCUGUGUAUUUCUCUCCAAUCUAUCCGUUUGGUUUGGCCAACUAGAUUGAUUUAUCUUCAGUGGGAGAGGUGCUUUAUAGUGGGUUCAAUCUUGCGGUGGUCUAACCCAGUGACAGAAAGGGCCAAGGCACGUAUUGUAUUGUUGCUGAAGGAAAUAUGCCCUAGACGCAAUAAUAAAGUUAUAUUUACUUAUAUCAUCAUAAAUGUUUAUUAUUCAUGCUAGAAUUGUAUUAACCAGAAACUUAGUACAUGUGUGAAUACAUAGACAAAACAAAGUGUCCCUAGUAUGCCUCUACUUGACUAGCUCGUUAAUCAAAGAUGGUUAUGUUUCCUAACCAUAGCUGGUGUUGUCAUUUGAUGAACAGGAUCACAUCAUUAGGGAAUGACGUGAUGGACAAGACCCAUCCGUUAGCUUAGCAUACUGAUUGAUAAGUUUUAUUGCUAUUGCUUUCUUCAUGACUUAUACAUGUUCCUCUGACUAUGAGAUUAUGCAACUCCCGAAUACUAGAGGAACACCUUGUGUGCUAUCAAACGCCACAACGUAACUAGGUGAUUAUAAAGAUGCUCUACAGGUGUCUUCGAAGGUGUUUGUUGGAUUGGCAUAGAUCGAGAUUAGGAUUUGUCACUCCGUGUAUCGAAGAGGUAUCUCUGGGCCCUCUCGGUAAUGCUCAUCAUUAUAAGCCUUGCAAGCAAUGUGACUAAUGAGUUAGUUGUGUGAUGAAGAAUUACAGAACGAGUAAAGAGACUUGCGGGUAACGAUAUUGAACUAGGUAUGAUGAUACCGAGGAUCAAAUCUCGGGCAAGUAACAUACCGACAAUAAAGGGAACAACGUAUGUUGUUGUGCGGUUUGACCGAUAGAGAUCUUCGUAGAAUAUGUAGGAGCCAAUAUUAGCAUCCAGGUUCCGCUAUUGGUUAUUGACCGGAGAUGUGUCUCCGUCAUGUCUACAUAGUUCUCGAACCCGUAGGGUUCGCACGCUUAACGUUCGAUGAUGAUUUGUAUUACGAGUUAUGUGUUUUUGAUGACCAAAGUUUGUUCAGAGUCUCGGAUGAGAUCACGGACAUGAAGAGGAGUCUCGAAAUGGUCGAGAGGUAAAGAUUGAUAUAUUGGAAGGUUGUAUUCGGACACCGGAAGGGUUCCGGAGUGUAUCGGGUACAAACAGGAGUACCGGAAGGGUUAUCGGAACCCCCCGGUGGAAGAUAUGGGCCAUGGGAGGGAGGCUAACUAGCCCACAAGGGGCUGGUGCACCCCCCACAAGGGAGGAGGCCGAAUUGGACUAGAGAAAGGGAGCGCCACCCCUUUCCUUAUCCUACUCCCUCUCCUUCCCCCUUUCCACCUCCGUAAGAAGGAAGAAAAGAGGGAGGGGGGGCUGAAUCCUACUAGGAGUGGAGUCCUAGUAGGACCCCCCUCCCUUGGCGCGCCCCUGGUCGCCGGCCUCCUCCUCCCUCCUUUAUAUACGGGGGCAGGGGGCACCCCAAAGGCACAACAUUGUCUUAGCCGUGUGUGGUGCCCCCCUCCAUCGUUUACUCCUUCAAUAGUAUCAUUGUAGUGCUUAGGCGAAGCUCUGCGCGGAUCACAACAUCAACACUGUCAUCAUGUUGUCUUGUUGACGAAACUCUCCCUCGACCCUCUGCUGGAUCAAGAGUUUGAGGGACGUCAUCAUGCUGAACAUGUGCUGAACACGGAGGUGUUGUACGUUUGGUACUUAGAUCGGUUGGAUCGUGAAGACGUUCGACUACAUCAACCGUGUUAACUAAUGCUUCCGCUUUCGGUCUACGAGGUUACGUGGACACACUCUCCCCUCUUGUGGCUAUGCAUCUCCUAGAUAGAUCUUGCGUGAUCGUAGGAAUUUUUUUGAAAUUGCAUGCUAUGUUCCCCAACAGUGGUAUCCGAGCCAGGUCUAUGCGUAGAUGAUAUGCACGAGCAGAACACAAAGAGUUAUGGGCGAUAAUAGUCAUACUGCUUACCACCAACGUCUUACUUUGAUUCGGCGGUAUUGUUGGAUGAAGCGGCCCAGACCGACAUUACAUGACCGCAUUCAUGAGACUAGUUCUACCGACGUGCUUUGCAUAUAGGUGGCUGGCGGGUGUAUGUUUCUCCAACUUUAGUUGAAUCGAGUUUGACUACGGCCGGUCCUUGUUGAAGGUUAAAACAACACACUUGAUGAAAAAUCAUUGUGGCUUUGAUGCGUAGGUAAGAACGGUUCUUGCUAGAAGCCCGUAACAACAACGUAAAAGUUGCAACAACAAAGUAGAGGACGUCUAACUUGUUUUUGCGGGGCAUGUUGUGAUGUGAUAUGGUCAAUAUAUGAUGUGAUAUAAAUUGUUUUAUGAGAUGAUUAUGUUUUGUAACAUAGUUAUCGGCAACAGGCAGGAGCCAUAUGGUUGUCACUUUAUUAUAGGAAAUGCAAUCGCCAUGUAAUUGCUUUACUUUAUCUCUAAGCGGUAGUGAUAGUCGUAGAAGCAAUAGUUGACGAGACGACAACGAUGCUACGAUGGAGAUCAAGGUGUCAAGCCGGUGACAAUGGAGAUCAUGAUGGUGCUUUGGAGAUGGAGAUCAAAGGCACAAGAUGAUGAUGGCCAUAUCAUGUCACAUAUUUUGAUUGCAUGUGAUGUUUAUCUUUUAUGCAUCUUAUUUUGCUUAGUACAACGGUAGCAUUAUAAGAUGAUCCCCUCACCAAAUUUCAAUGUAUAAGUGUUCUCCCUAAGUAUGCACCGUUGAUACAGUUCGUUGUGCCGAGACACCACGUGAUGAUUGAGUGUGAUAAGCUCCACAUUCACAUACAACGGGUGCAAGCUUGUUUUGCAUGUGCAGAAUACUCGGGUUAAACUGAACGAGCCUAGCAUACAUAGAUAUGGCCUCGGAACACUAAGACUGAAAGGUCGAACGUGAAUCAUAUAGUAGAUAUGAUCAACAUAGAGAUGUUCACCAUUGAAAACUAGUCCAUCUCACGUGAUGAUCGGACAUGGUUUAGUUGAUAUGGAUCAUGUGAUCAUUUAGAUGACUAGAGGGAUGUCUAUCUAAGUGGGCGUUAUUUAGUAAUAUGAUUAAUUGAACUUUAAUUUAUCAUGAACUUAGUCCUGAUAGUAUUUGCAAAUUAUGUUGUAGAUCAAUAGCUCGUGUUGUAGUUUCCCUAUGUUUUUUGAUAUGUUCCUAGAGAAAACUAAGUUGAAAGAUGAUAGUAGCAAUGAUGCAGACUGGGUCCGUGAUCUGAGGUUUAUCCUCAUUGCUGCAAAGAAGAAUUAUGUCCUUGAUGCACUGCUAGGUGACAGACCUAUUGCAGGAGCAGAUGCAGACGUUAUGAAUGUUUGGCUAGCUCAAUAUGAUGACUAGUUGAUAGUAUAGUGCACCAUGCUUUACGACUUAGAACCAGGAUUUCAAAAACGUUUUGAAACGCCAUGGAUCAUAUGAGAUGUUCGAAGAGCUGAAAUUGGUAUUUCAGACUCAUGUCCGUGUCAAGAGGUAUGAGACCUCUGACAAGUAGUUCGCUUAAAAGGAUGGAGGAGAAUCGCUCAGCUAGUGAGCAUGUGCUUCGAAUGUCUGGGUACUACAAUCACUUGAAUCAAGUGGGAGUUAAUCUUCCAGAUAAGAUAGUGAUCGACAGAGUUCUCUAGUCACCAUCACCAACUUACUAGAACUUCAUGAUGAACUAUAAUAUGCAAGGGAUGACAAAAGCGAUCCCGAAGCUCUUCGUGGUGCUGAAAUCAAUGAAGGUAGAAAUCAAGAAAAAACAUUAAGUACUGACAAUUAAACAAGAUCACUAGUUUCAAGAAAAGGGCAAAGGGAAAGAAAGGGAACUUCAAGAAGAAUGGCAAGCAAGUUGUCACUCCUGGGAAGAAGCCCAAAGCUAGACCCAAGCCUGAAACCGAUUGCUUCUACUCCAAAGGAAAUGGUCACUAGAAGCGGAACUGCCCCAAAAAAAUUUGGCGGAUAAGAAGGAUGGCAAAGUUAACAAAGGUAUAUUUGAUAUACAGGUUAUUGAUGUGUACCUUACUAGUGUUCAUAGUAGCCCCUGGGUAUUUGAUAUUUGUUCGGUUGCUCAGAUUAGUAACUCGAAACAGGAGUUACAGAAUAAACAAAGACUAGUUGAGGGUGAAUUGACGAUGUGUGUUGGAAGUGGUUCCAAGAUUGAUAUGAUCAUCAUCGCACACUCCUUAUACUUUUGGGAUUAGUGUAGAACCUAAAUAAAUGUUAUUUUGUGUUUGCGUUGAGCAUGAAUAUGAUUAGGUCAUGUUCAUUGCAAUAUGGCUAUUCAUUUAAGACAAAGAAUAAUUGUUAUUCUUUUUACAUGAAUAAAACCUUCUAUGGUCAUACACCCAACGUUGAUGGUUUAUUGAAUCUCGAUCGUAGUGAUACACAUAUCCAUAAUAUUGAUGCUAAAAGAUGCAAAGUUGAUAAUGAUAGUGCAACUUAUUUGUGGCACUGCCGUUUGGGUCAUAUCGGUGUAAGCGCAUGAAGAAACUCCAUAAAGAUUGACUUUUGGAAUCACUUGAUUAUGAAUCAUUUGAUACUUGCGAACCAUGCCUUAUGGGAAAGAUGACUAAAACUCCGUUUUCCGGAACAAUGGAACGAGCUACUGACUUAUUGGAAAUAAUACAUACUGAUGUAUGUGGUCCAAUGAGUGCUGAUGCUCGUGGCGGGUAUCGUUAUUUUCUGACCUUCACAGAUGAUUUGAGAAGAUAUGGGUAUAUCUACUUAAUGAAACACAAGUCUGAAACAUUUGAAAAGUUCAAAGAAUUUCAGAGUGAAGUGGAGAAUCAUUGUAACAAGAAAAUAAAAUUUCUACAAUCUGAUCGUGGAGGUGAAUAUUUGAGUUACGAGUUUGGCCUUCAUUUAAAACAAUGUGGAAUAGUUUCACAGCUCACGCCACCUGGAACACCAAAACGUAAUGGUGCGUCCGAACGCCGUAACCGCACUUUAUUAGAUAUGGUGCGAUCUAUGAUGUCUCUUACCGAUUUACCACUAUCGUUUUGGGACUAAGCAUUAGAGACAGGUGCAUUCAAGUUAAACAGGGCACCGUCAAAAUUCGUUUAGACGACACCGUAUGAACUGUGGUUUGGCAACAAACCUAAGCUGUCGUUUCUUAAAGUUUGGGGCUGCGAUGCUUAUGUCAAAAAGUUUUAACCUGAUAAGCUCGAGCCCAAAUCGGAGAAAUAUGUCUUCAUAGGAUACCCAAAAGAAACUAUUGGGUACACCUUCUAUCACAGAUCCGAAGGCAAGAUAUUCGUUGCUAAGAAUGGAUCCUUUCUAGAGAAGGAGUUUCUCGCGAAAGAAGUGAGUGGGAGGAAAGUAGAACUUGAUGAGUUAAUUGUACCUUCUCCCAAAUUGGAAAGUAGUUAAUCACAGAAAUAAAUUCUAGUGAUUCCUACACCAAUUAGUGAGGAAGCUAAUGAUCCUGAAACUUCAGAUCAAGUUACUACCGAACCUCGUAGGUCAACCAGAGUACGGUCCGCACUAGAGUGGUACAGUAAUCCUAUUCUAGAAGUCAUGUUACUAGACCAUGAUGAACCUACGAACUAUGAGGAAGCGAUGAUGAGCCCAGAUUCCGCGAAAUGGAUUGAGACCAUGCAUCUGAGAUAGGAUCCAUGUAUGAGAACAAAGUGUGGACUUUGGUGGACUUGCCCGAUGAUCGGCAAGCCAUUGAGAAUAAAUGGAUCUUCAAGAGGAAGAUGGCCACUAAUAGUAGUGUUACUAUCUACAAAGCUCGAAUUGUCGCAAAAGGUUUUCGACAAGUUCCAGAUGUUGACUAUGAUAAGAUUUUCUUACUCGUAUCGAUGCUUAAAUCCGUCUGAAUCAUGUUAGCAAUUGCCAUAUUUUGUGAGAUCUGGCAAAUGGAUGUCAAAACUGCAUUCCUUAAGUGGACAUUUCUUAAAGAAGGGUUGUAUAUGAUGCAACCGGAUGGUUUUGUCGAUCCUAAAGGUACUAACAAGGUGUGCAAGCUCCAGCGAUCCAUCUAUGGACUGGUGCAAGCAUCUUGGAGUUGGAAUAUACGCUUUGAUGAGUUGAUCAAAGCAUAUGGUUUUAUGUAGACUUUUGGAGAAGCCUAUAUUUACAAGAAAGUGAGUGGGAUUACUACAGCCUUUCUGAUAAGUAUAUGUGAGUGACAUGUUGUUGAUCGGAAAUGAUGUAGAAUUUUCUGGAAAGCAUAAAGGAGAGUUUGAAAGAAGAUUCUCAAAGAAAGACCUCAGUGAUGCUGCUUACAUAUUGGGCAUCAAGAUCUAUAGAGAUAGAUCAAGACGCUUGAUAGGAUUUUUCAAUGAGUACAUACCUUGACAAGAUUUUGAAAGAGUUCAAAAUGGACAGUCAAAGAAGGAGUUCUUGCCUGUAUUACAAGGUGUAAAGUUGAGUAAGACUCAAUGCCCGACCAUGGCAGAAGAUAGAAAGAGAAUGAAAGUCAUUCCCUAUGCCUCAGUCAUAGGUUCUAUAAAGUAUGCCAUGCUAUGUACCAGACCAGUUGUGUGCCUUGCUAUGAGUUUGGCAAGGGGGUACGAUAGUGAUCCAGGAGUGGAUCACUGUAUAGCGGUCAAAUUUAUCCUUAGUUUCCUAAGAGGACUAAGGAAGUAUUUCUUGGUUAUGGAGGUGCUAAAGAGUUCAUCGUAAAGAGUUACGUCGAUGUAAGCUUUACACCAAUCCCGAUGACUAUGGGUCUCAAUCUGGAUACAUAUUGAAAGUGGGAGCAAUUAGAUAGAGUAGCUUCAUGCAGAGCAUUGUAGACAUAGAAAAUUUGCAAAAUACAAACGGCUCUGAAUUUAGCAGGCCCGUUGACUAAACUUCUCUUACAAGCAAAACAUGAUCACACCUUAGUAAUCAUUGCAUAUUAAUCACAUAGCGAUGUGAACUAGAUUAUUGACUCUAGUAAACCCUUUAGUUUUGGUCACAUGGUGAUGUGAACUAUGGGUGUUAAUCACAUACAGAUGUGAAAUAUUGGUGUCAAAUCACAUGGCGACUUGAACUAGAUUAUUGACUCUAGUGCAAGUGGGAUACUGAAUGAAAUAUGCCCUAAAGGCAAUAAUAAAGUUGUUAUUUAUAUUUCCUUAUAUCAUGUUAAAUGUUUAUUAUUCAUGCUAGAAUUGUAUUAACCGGAAACUUAGUACAUAUGUGAAUACAUAGACAAAACAAAGUGUCCCUAGUAUGCCUCUACUUGACUAGCUCGUUAAUCAAAGAUGGUUAUGUUUCCUGCUUAGCAUAUCGAUUGAUAGGUUUUAUUGCUAUUGCUUUCUUCAUGACUUAUACAUGUUCCUAUGAUUAUGAGAUUAUGCAACUCCCGAAUACUAGAGGAACACCUUGUGUGCUAUAAAAUGUCGCAACAUAACUGGGUGAUUAUAAAGAUGCUCUACAGGUGUCUUCGAAGGUGUUUGUUGGAUUGGUAUAGAUCGAGAUUAGGAUUUGUCACUCUGUGUAUCGGAGAUGUAUCUCUGGGCCCUCUCGGUAAUGCUCAUUGAGGGAGUCCUGGAUUAGGGGGUAUCCGGACAGCCGGACUAUAUACUUUGGCCGGACUAUUGGAUCGUGAAGAAACAAGACUCAAGACUUCGUCCCGUGUCUGGAUGGGACUCGCCUUUGCGUGGAAGACAAGCUUGGCGAUCCGGAUAAUAGAUUUCCUUCUUUGUAACUGAAUCUGUGUAAACCCUAGCCCUCUCCGGUGUCUAUAUAAACCGGAGGGUUUAGUCCUUAGAGACAGAAUCAUAAUCAUCAUAGGCUAGCUCCUAAGGUUUAGCCUCUACGAUCCUGUGGUAGAUCAACUCUUGUAAUACUCAUAUCAUCAAUAUCAAUCAAGCAGGAAGUAGGGUUUUACCUCCAUCAAGAGGCCCGAACCUGGGUAAAACAUUGUGUCCCUUGCCUCCUGUUAUCAUUAGCCUUAGAUGCACAGAUCGGGACCCCCUACCCGAGAUCCGCCGGUUUUGACACCGACAUUGGUGCUUUCAUUGAGAGUUCCUCUAUGUCGUCACUGCGAGGCUCAAUGGCUCCUUCAAUCAUUAACAACAAAAUGGUCCAGGGUGAGACUUUUCUCCUUGGACAGAUCUUCGUGUUCGGCGUCUUCGCACUGCGGGCCAAUUCGCUUGGCCAUCUGGAGCAAAUCGACAGCUACGCCCCUGGCCAUCAGGUCAGGUUCGGAAACUUGAACUACACGGCCGAUAUCUGCGGAGACUUGAUCUUCAACGGAUUCGGGCCUGCGCUAGGAGCGCCGAAUAGUCACGAUGGGCAUGGCUUAGACCUGAUGUCGGACAAUACUCGGGAUAUCGCCCCUGCAGGAGCCCCGGACCUAAAUCCAAGGCAGAUUGCGUCGCCCGAGGACGGGUGGAUGGACCCUGCCCCGGAGGCCGCACACCCAUCGGUGGUAGAGCCGAACAUAAACUUCUCCCCUAAGGAAGCCUGUGACACCGGACCCCUGGACUCGUAUCCGGCUGUAGGUUCCAGUCCGUGCACCUCCGAGCCCGCUGAAUCUGGUUGGGCUCCGGUAAUGGAGUUUACCACUGCGGAUAUCUUCUAUCUCUCGCCCUUUGGCGACAUGCUGAACUCGUUAAAGUCUCUCUCUUUGUCAGGAGACUCUUGGCCGAACUAUGUCCGGCUCGAGUGGGAAGCAGGCGACGAAGGAAUUCAUUGCCCACCCACCACCCACUUCAUUGCCACGGUCGAUGAUUUAACCGACGUGCUUGACUUCGACUCUGAAGACAUCGAUGGUAUGGACGACGAUGUAGGAGAAGAACAGGAACCACCGCCCACGGGGCGGUGGACAGCCACCUCCUCAUAUGAUAUAUAUAUAUGGUGGACACUCUGAAAGAAACCAAUGCCGAUGAGGUAAUGGAGGAUAACCCCUCAAGGAAGAAAGCUAAGCAUGGGCGUCGUCGGCGCCGCUCCAAGCCCCGCCAUAGCAAUACCGGCACAGGAGACGAAAACAAUCCGGAUGGUGCCGAAGAUGAAUACAACCCCGAUCAGCCUACCUUCGAGCAGGCCGAACAGGAAUACGGGCAGGUCAACCCAGACGAACAGGCGACAGACGGAUAUCGAGAGGAGGACAACUACAUGCCCCCCUCCGAAGAUGAGAUUAGCCUCGGCGACGACGAGUUCGGCGUGCCUGAGGACCCCGUGGAGCAGGAGCGCUUCAAGCGCCGGCUUAUGGCCACUGUGAGGAGCCUGAAAAAGAAGCAGCAGCAGCUCCAAGCUGAUCAAGAUCUGCUCACAGACAGAUGGACUGAAGUCCUGGCAGCUGAGGAAUAUGGACUCGAGCGCCACACGGCUAACCGGGCACCUCGUGGCCGGGAUAAAACGGCGUAUCAGCCUGAAUACCAGCCCGCACCACUACGCCAAUGCACUACGGCCCGGGGCAAUAGGCAGGACCUGCAAGAUAUACUGGAAAAGAAGGCAGGACAGCCAAGAUCGAUCUAUGGAUCACGGGGGUGCACCCCAACACAUGACGAUGAUCGUCAUGCCGGAUACACUAUCAACAAGUCCGGCCGGGCCGAAUACAGCCAACUAGAAUCAUUCGAACUGCGUAGCCACAUAGCUCGGCAUAGAGGCGCCGCACACCCCCUCUGCUUCACUGACGAAGUGAUGGAUCAUGAAUUCCCGGAAGGGUUUAAACCCGUAAACAUCGAAUCAUACAAUGGCACAACAGACCUCGCAGUAUGGAUUGAAGAUUUCCUUCUCCACAAUCACAUGGCCCGCGGAGACGAUCUACACGCCGUCAAAUAUCUUCCCCUUAAGCUCAAAGGACCGGCCCGACACUGGCUAAACAGCCUGCCGGCAAAUUCCAUUGGCAGUUGGGAAAACCUGGAUGAUGCGUUCCUCGACAACUUCCAGGGCACAUACGUGCGACCACUGGAUGCCGAUGACUUGAGCCACAUUACCCAACAGCCCGGAGAGUCAGCCAGGAAAUUCUGGACUCGGUUCCUAACCAAAAAGAACCAAAUAGUCGACUGUCCGGACGCCGAAGCCCUGGCGGCCUUUAAGCAUAAUAUCCGUGACGAGUGGCUCGCCCGACACCUCGGCCAGGAAAAACCAAAGUCCAUGGCGGCCCUCACGACACUCAUGACCCACUUUUGCGCUGGUGAGGACAGCUGGUUGGCUCGUAGUAGCACCACGCCAAUAAAUUCCAGCACCUCAGAUGUCCACGACAACAACGGCAAGCCACGACACAACAGACAUAAGCGAGAGAACAACGACGACAACACUGAAGACACGGCAGUCAACACCGGAUUCAGUGGCUCGAAAUCCGGUCAGCGGAAAAAACUGUUCAAAAGAAACAAUCAGGGACCGUCUAGUCUGGACCGCAUACUUGACCGCUCGUGUCAAAUUCAUGGCACCCCAGAUAAGCCAGCAAACCACACUAAUAUAGACUGUUGGGUGUUCAAACAGGCCGUUAAAAUAAAUGCCAAAAACAAGGACAAGGGGCUGCACAGCAAUGAUGAUGAGGAGCCCCGGCAUCCGAACACGGGGGACAGAAGAAAUUUCCUCCCCAGGUGAAAACAGUCAACAUGAUCUACGCCACCCACAUUCCCAAACGGGAACAGAAGCGAGCACUACGGGACGUCUAUCUGAUGGAGCCAGUCGCCCCAAAAUUCAACCCAAGGUUAGCCUGUCUGAUCACCUUUGAUCAUAGGGAUCACCCUACCAGCAUCCGUCACGGCGGUUCAGCCGCAUUGGUCAUAGACCCAAUCAUCAACGGAUUCUACCUCACGCGAGUCCUUAUGGAUGGUGGCAGCAGCCUGAACCUGCACUAUCAGGCCACAGUGCGCAAAAUGAGCAUCGACCCUUCAAGGAUCAAGCCCACCAAAACUAACUUCAAAGGUGUAAUCCCAGGAGUAGAGGCCCGUUGCACGGGCUCCAUAACACUGGAAGUGGUCUUCGGACCUCCGGAUAACUUUUGAAGCGAGGAGUUAAUCUUCGAUAUUGUCCCUUUCCAUAGUGGUUAUCAUGCACUGCUUGGACGAACCGCAUUCGCUCGAUUCAAUGCGGUACCCCACUAUGCAUACCUCAAGCUCAAGAUGCCAGGACCUCGUGGGGUCAUAACAGUCAAUGGAAACAUGGACCACUCUCUUCGUACAGAAGAGCAUACUGCAGCCCUCGCAGCAGAAGUACAAUGCAGCCUUCUCCGGCAAACUACCAAUCCGGCGACAACAACCCCGAACACCGCCAAGCAAGUCCGAAGUACCCCGCAACAGGAUCGCCAGGCACACCAGGAGUGUGACUAGCAGUCCGGCCUCCGCUCCAGCCCCAUCAAGGCAGCAUUCGUGCCACGCGUACACAAUUACGCACUCAAAAUACCAUGGGCAUAGGCGGAGGCGCAAUAGUGACUCAGUCAACAAUGCGAUACAGUCGCAACAUACUUUAAUAACCCCCCUUUAUCUUUCAGGAGACUGCUUUCGAGCAGCCUCUUCAGAAGAGCCGGAUUGUCGGACUUGCACAAGAGAGAAACGCAAGGAGGCAAAAGGCUUUGCGCACAAAGGAAAUACCUAGGUGUGAUCUGUUCACGAUCGUUAUACCUGUUUUAUAUACCUACAUGCGGCCUGCCCUUGGAUAGGACAUGUUAAAUAGUCCUAUUUGUUGGGGAACGUUACAGAAAAUAAAAAAUUUCUACGCUUCACCAAGAUCAAUCUAUGGAGUCAUCUAGCAACGAGAGAGAGGAGUGCAUCUACAUUCCCUUGUAGAUCACACGCGGAAGCGUUCAAGAGAACGGGGUUGAGGGAGUCGUACUCGUCGUGAUCCAAAUCACUGAAGAUCCUAGUGCCGAACGGAUGGCACCUCCACGUUCAACACACGUACAUACGGUUGGGGAAGAUGUCUCCUCCUUCUUGAUCCAGCAAGGGGGAGGGAGAGGUUGAUGGAGAUCCAGCAGCACGACGGCGUGGUGGUGGAAGCAGCAGCGAUCUCGGCAGGGCUUCACCAAGCUCUACGAGAGGGAGAGGUGUUGCGGAGGGAGAGGGAGGCGCCAGGAGCAGGGGUGCGCAGCCCUCCCUCCCCCUCUUUAUAUAGGGGCCCUGGGGGGGCGCCGGCCCCUGGNNNNNNNNNNNNNNNNNNNNNNNNNNNNNNNNNNNNNNNNNNNNNNNNNNNNNNNNNNNNNNNNNNNNNNNNNNNNNNNNNNNNNNNNNNNNNNNNNNNNNNNNNNNNNNNNNNNNNNNNNNNNNNNNNNNNNNNNNNNNNNNNNNNNNNNNNNNNNNNNNNNNNNNNNNNNNNNNNNNNNNNNNNNNNNNNNNNNNNNNNNNNNNNNNNNNNNNNNNNNNNNNNNNNNNNNNNNNNNNNNNNNNNNNNNNNNNNNNNNNNNNNNNNNNNNNNNNNNNNNNNNNNNNNNNNNNNNNNNNNNNNNNNNNNNNNNNNNNNNNNNNNNNNNNNNNNNNNNNNNNNNNNNNNNNNNNNNNNNNNNNNAGCAGCGCGGGUUUUAGAUGUAUCAGUAGCGUGGGUACAGGCGCUACUAAUAAGGCGCUACAGCUAACACAUAGCAGUAGCGCGUGCACACCGGCGCUAUUGCUACACAAGUGUAGCAGCAGCGCGGUUAGAGGAAGCUCGCUACUGCUAGUAGCGCUAGUGCGCUUUGCUUGGACGCGCUGCUGCUAUUGAGGCGCUGCUGCUAACUUUUAUACACUCGCUACUGCUAAUUUAAGUAGUUUUUUUUGGCAUAUUUGUUUUGUAUUUGAACAUGCUUUGUAGAAGAAUCUUUAGCACAUAGAAAUGUCAUCAUGAUACACAUACAAAUGCAUGCGAGACCACAAAUGUAAUCAUAGCAUGUACAUACAAAUAGUCUCAUCAUAAUCAUCAUCCAACACAAAGUGAUAUCUUGUCAUCAUCUCGAAAAUAGCGAUACAUGCAAGUCUCGAAUACUUGCAACUACAACAACAUCAUCCAUCUAAACAAAGGUAUACGCAAGAAGUGCUAUCACUAUGAGUGAGAGCGGAACUAUGCAGUACAUGUGGUGGCGGUUACGAGUCCUCUCUCGCGCUAGCGUGAACCUCAAGUAACUAGCUUCUCCUUCUUGUCUGCUUUUGAAGCCUUUAUGGCUGGCGCCCGUGAACCCAUUCACUUGCGCCUAACACUCAUGCCACUCGUUGUACACCCCCGGAACCUUCCCUUUGUACAUGACAUAGCAUUUCCAUCUCGCCAUCAAGAAACUAGGUACCUAUUAGAGAUGCAUGUUCAUGAAGAGGAUGUACAAUCAUAUAUAUGCAACAAAAUAUACUAGAGCAACACCAAAAAAGACAGGUUUAGCAACUAGAUGCAACAUAUACAGUACGCAAAUUAAUUAACUAGAGGUACGCAGGUCAUUUUACGCAAACUAACAAAGUAGCGUUACGCAAGUUCGGCAGGGACCGUGGACAUCAAAAAGUUUCAUCGCUACAAAAAGUAUACAAGUUCAACCGACACAUACCAUCAUCAUCGGCAUCAUAAAUCACUAGAAGUUCCAUCCUUCCAUAUCAUCGAGGACGAACCCUAGCUUCUUGAGCGGCGUGAGGUCUAUACGUUGCAUGCCUAUGCGAGUUCGGACGUCAGCUCGCGAUAUAGGGCCGUGGUGGAACAUCCCCUUCUCAUCGACGACUUCUUUCAUGAUGAUCGUCGCAAUGUCGCUUUAGAUGCGAAAGAAGUCAUCUCUAAGUUUUUAAUUCGCUUCUCCAUGAGAUUCUAGCCACUUGUGGAUAUGAUCAUCAUUUCUGCUGUUAAUGCGAAGCUUUUGGUGAUCCGUGUUGAACUGAAUCAUGAGAUGGACGAUGUAGAAUCCAUCCUUCUUGCUUGGUUUUGGGACAUGGAUGCAGGAGAAGUUAGUUUUAUGCGCGAAACCCAUCUUCUUGUUCCUUUGUUUCAUGAUCUGCACGUGGCCACCUCUAAAGCUGAAGCUAGGGCUGGACCAAAAGCUCGUAGCUCGUGAGCUUAAUGAGCGCUCGAUAGUUCGGCUCGUUAAGCUCAUAGCUCGCUUCUUAAUGAACAGAGCCAAUCAUUGAUUAUAGCUCGUUAAGCUUAAAGAGAUUAACGAGUGAGCUAACGAGUUUCACGAGUAGCUCAUUAAGCUCGUUAGCAACAACACAACACAUAUUUUUAUCUUAUGUGACAAACUUUUUGUAGCAUCUCAGCCCAUCUAUUUAAUCUAAUCGACAUAUGAGGCAACAAACCACUUCAUUUCUUUUUGUAGUCACCAUAUUUCAUCUUGAAAACCAUACCUACACAUUCAUCAUGUAUAUCAUAACAUAUUAUAAUCUGUUAACGAGCGCUCGCGAGCGCUCACGAGCUUAACGAGCUUCAAACGAGCCGAGCCGAGCAGGGUUUUCUGCUCGUUAAUCUUAACGAGCUUAACGAGCCGAGCCUUAACGAGCACGAGCUUAACGAGUACGAGCUUAACGAGUACGAGCUUAACGAGCCGAGCUGCUCGUUAGUCCACCCCUAGCUGAAGCCUUGGAGAGCAUCAUCUAGAAUAUUCAUUAUGUGGGUGUAGUCCUUUUUCUCGUAGUCUCUGGAAGGGUCAAAAUACACGGCGUGGGAGACUUGAGGGUAAAGAACGAUAAGGACGGCACGCCCGUUGCUGCGGGGAAAAGACACCUCAAAUUAUUCCCCAUAUGAGAGAGAAGGAAUGAUUGAAAUGUACGAAAGGGUUGUCCGGAACUGACUUACUUUGGAUGAUAAGGCACGAGGACAAUUUCCCGGUCCUUAUUCUGUACCAUGAAGUUUUGGAGGUACUCCCUAGCAGUUUCACGCUCAAAGUCGCCGAGACUCAGGAAAGACUCGUGCAUGUAGUACGGAUCCGCCACACAGAUUUGCGAGACUUCUUCACUCUUCAUGACGGAGCUCAUAUGUAGCGCAAAAAGGCGGACGAUAGUAAAAUCAAGCCGCCUUGUUAGAAACAUCUCAAAGAUAUGGUCAAACCGCAGGAAGAACACCUCCGCGGGCCGUGUGUCGACGUAGCACUUCCCCUCAGGCACAUGAGCGGCAUAUGUUGGAUAUCCUGGAUCCUUUGAGGCUAGUAGGCUUUUCUCAGUCGACAACACAUGGUCGUGCAGUCUCCUGAGAUCCCCUGAUAGUGCCUCCAGCGGUUUCGGCGGUAGCAUCGGCUCGCCCGUGAGAUGGAACAUGACCGCACCUUUCACGGGUACACGCUCUUCAGAAUGCAUCGUCUGGCUGCUAUGUGCUCUGGCUUGUUUGGAGGCAGUUACCUUCCCCGAUCUCUUCCUCUCCUUUUUCUUGGGCACACCUUCCAGACCCUUCCUUAACCCCUGCCCCAGUGUUCCCGGGCUAAGUACUGUACGACCCUCGCGCCCGGCUAGUUGAGCCUGUGUUGAGGCGGCAUCUUCAGGCGUGUCCUGUGAGGAUUUCAUGAAGAGAGACUUUUUGCAAUCCAUCGUACGACCCUGCCCGGGCAUAUCAUGCAUAUCGUCAUUAGCAAGCUGAUAGCCCGAUUCAUCAUAUGGUUGACUCAUCAUAUCUAUGUCACAGUCAUACGCGUUUGUAUUGAGGUAAUCCAUAGGGUCGACCUCCGUCUCAUCAUCCAUUCUCUGUUCUACAGGAGAAAUUACAUCAGCCAGUACUAUUGCACCCCCUUCAUCAUGUCGUCCGCCGCUCUCACCCGGCACUACAGGAGCUGGUAAUUGCGUAGGCGGGGUGGUGGUCUCCGCACAUGCUUGUUGAUGUGUGGUAGUUAUUGGUGUGCUCUCGGCCGGCUCCAGACGAAUAAGAGUCUUUGGCCAUAGCAGUACCCAACCCUUGCAGCUUCCAAUCCAUGGUGGGGUCUCGUCGUCCGCCCCCACAUGCUGCACUGGAGGAGGCAAAUCCUCAUGCCCCGAUUUCACACUGGUCAAGCUAACCCUGAAGUGCCCAGCGGGGAUUGGCUGGUUGUGGAACGUGCGGUGAGAGGGGUCCAUUAUUAUCCCCUUUCCCACGUCCACCUUCUGGCCUUUGAUCAAGUAGAGUAUGGUGCACGGGGUUUCUUUCGCCUGCAAACACAUAUGUCUGUGGCGUAAAACAAGCGAAAGGCAACAAAAAUGGAAUAUUAUCUAUAUAUAUAUGUUGGUGCAACAUGUAAUUACUGUGACGGCGUCGAGCUCAGCCAAAGACGACGGCCCACCUAGCGCGCCUGAGACUGUGGACGGGCUGCUAUGAGCGGGAGCGGCUGCGAGAGGAGGCCCGGUUGCUUGAGAAAGUGAUGGUGCGAUGGUGUUGUUGUUCAUGGAGUUGCUCGCGACGAAACUGGGCAUCGGGAAAUCAUGUACCGUCUUUUCUGGAUUUUCGUUCGCCCAGUUGAUGAUAACUGGAACCAAGUUAGUAGCAAAAUCAUUUCUGCAGGCAGUUACAGCUGCAUUGACUGCCUGCUGUAGCAACUUAUAUUUGUCCUCGGCUGCUUUUUUCGCGUCCUCAGCUGCUUUUUUCUCGACCGCAAGCUUCACCUUUGCGUUGAUGUCCGCCUGACUAAACUUCUUUUUCUGCUUCUUGGCCUCCGGGCCGUCGUUGUAAAACACCUUCCAUGUGGCGCCGUCUCCAGCGCCGUGCACACGACCAUAUUGCGGCCGCUGGUCCAAAGGGAGUCCGUUAAGUUCGUUCAAGGCCCGGUUGAGAGGGGUGUCCCACUUGGGCCUCAUCGGAGAAGUAGGGCUUUCGGCUACAAGCCGGUGUUGCUUCUCCAGUAGUCUAAUCAAUUUCCUCAUGAUCUUGUCCAUGUAAAAAACCUUUUUCUCCUUGUCCCACUUGUAGCGGGCCCUGAUGAAGUCAUGCUCCAAGGGGUUGGUGAACUUCGCGAAGGGGUCUGGGAGACCCGCGUCUUCACGUUCCGCGUCCUCCUUAUCGCAUAUGGGCCUUUUACCGAGGUAGCCACGGCUUCCGAGGCGAUGCUUCCCCGUGUUCCUUUGCUGAAGGCUUUUGAAUUUCGCAGCCUUAGCCUUGGCUGCCUCGGUAGCGCAAGUGUCCUUGAACUUUUCGAACUCCUCUUCCGUAAGUGUCGGAUUUUCCUCCAGAAACUUGGACAGGGGUUCAUCAGCCUUAAUAGCUCGUUUCACCCUCCCUUUCCAGGAGGCCAAAUCAUUGCUGAACAUGCCCAUGACGUGAUUGUUAAUCUUUUUCAUCUUCGGAUCAUCCCACAAUUGUUCUAUGUUAUCAUCCCUGUCGGGGAACUUGAAUCUCUUAUGCAACUUCGUUAGGAGCAACUGCGUCAAAUGUUCUUUACUCCUUAAGUCAUCGUCGUUGAUGCUCGCGCAUUCCCGUAGGAUGCAUCCUACUUGGUUCCCAUAGCACUUGCGAGGUUCUUCCAGCUCUAACGGCUCAAACUUGCCAGGUGCCAUCUUUGUGAUCACAAGUCGUCCAAUCCCUAGUUUGUUAGGUUUUCGUAUCCUCUGCUUCUUAUGCUUCCUCUUUUCGGUAGCGGCAUCGGGGCCGGUACGUUCCCCGCCGGUACCUUCCCCACCGAUCUCGGUGCCGCCAUCGGUGCCGGCACCGUCGGUGUCGAUGUCGGCGUCAGUACCAUCAUCGAGGCCGACCUGCAAACCUUGCUUAGCAGUCAAAUAGUCGAGGUACUCUUGUUCACCCUCAUAAUCCAUCUCGUCUGCAUCUUGGUCAGAAGGCCCAGUUUCUUCGUUGUUCGACAUGUUUCCUAUGAUUAAGUGUCCUCAUUUAUUUCUAAAAGUAUGAAUAAAUGACAAAUGAAAUAAAAAGAAAUAUAUGUGCCAGCACUCGAUAUGCCAACUAUGUAGCACAAAUCAUGCCUUUAUUCACGGGAAACUUCGGCAUGACCUUUGCUAAAAAAUGGACAUAUCGAGCGCCUGAAAUUCACCAGAACGGAAAUGAAUCAACAUUCCGGCGUAACAUAGGCCACUCGGAUCAUUUUCCAAACAUGACAUGUCCAAAACAUGACAUAUGCACAUAUCACAUGUCCAGUUCAAAUUUGCAUAUAAAUUCAACUAAUUUUGAAACCUAGCUAAAUUCAUAACUAAAUAGAUAACCUAAUUAACAUAACCGAAGAACCCUAGCAGAGAGAGGGGGGGCUUUACAGAGGGUGCAGGGGCGAGGAGGCAGGCCCNNNNNNNNNNNNNNNNNNNNNNNNNNNNNNNNNNNNNNNNNNNNNNNNNNNNNNNNNNNNNNNNNNNNNNNNNNNNNNNNNNNNNNNNNNNNNNNNNNNNNNNNNNNNNNNNNNNNNNNNNNNNNNNNNNNNNNNNNNNNNNNNNNNNNNNNNNNNNNNNNNNNNNNNNNNNNNNNNNNNNNNNNNNNNNNNNNNNNNNNNNNNNNNNNNNNNNNNNNNNNNNNNNNNNNNNNNNNNNNNNNNNNNNNNNNNNNNNNNNNNNNNNNNNNNNNNNNNNNNNNNNNNNNNNNNNNNNNNNNNNNNNNNNNNNNNNNNNNNNNNNNNNNNNNNNNNNNNNNNNNNNNNNNNNNNNNNNNNNNNNNNNNNNNNNNNNNNNNNNNNNNNNNNNNNNNNNNNNNNNNNNNNNNNNNNNNNNNNNNNNNNNNNNNNNNNNNNNNNNNNNNNNNNNNNNNNNNNNNNNNNNNNNNNNNNNNNNNNNNNNNNNNNNNNNNNNNNNNNNNNNNNNNNNNNNNNNNNNNNNNNNNNNNNNNNNNNNNNNNNNNNNNNNNNNNNNUACCGUCGCUACAGCCAGUUUUCCUUUUUCUUUUCCUUUAUUUUAUCCCACUUUUAUUUCCCGAGGGCAGUGAACGAAGGGAGGGCAAUAUAUAUUGCAUCAUUUGACAUUUAAAUAUGUAUGCAAAAUAGGAACAUAUAUAUUACACAUCAUUGGACCCAUGCAUAAUAAUGGCUAAGUGUGUAUACAAAAUAGGAACAUAUAUAUAUAUAUAUAUAUAUAUAUAUAUAUAUAUAUAUAUAUAUUACACAUCAUUGGACCGAUAACAUAAGUUUCCUCAGUGCUGGCGUUUUCGUUUUUGAGUCAGCUUCUUUCCCUUCUUGUUCGUCGAAGAAUAAUUGAGCCCCUCAUUGUGACUUUGCCUUUUCCAUGGAGUAUGAUUUUUCUUAGGUAAUGUAGUAUUGAUUCUUCUUUUGACGUAUACUUCAUUAUCAUCGUCAUCUUCCCUCAUUGGGUUGCCGUACUGAUCAUAGUCUUCCUCGUUGGCGACUCCAUCCAUUCCAAUGAUGUUCCUUUUGCCUCUCCUCACGACAACACGAUUGGGAUUGCGCGGGUCAGUUAUGAAGAAGCAUUGUGUCACGUGCUUAGCGUGUACCCAUGGCUCGUUUUUUGCGAUAGCGUUCACGGUAGCGCUCUUGGCGUCGGGUAUAGUCAUGGUAGUGAACAUCCGGCUUUCUCUUUCGACAUUCUUAGCCCAUAUGACACGGAACAUCGUCGUGUUGUGCAGUCCAGAGUAGUCAAGCUCCCAGAUCUCCGCGACCCUUCCAUAAAAUCGUUCAGUUGCGCCGUUGUCGCUGCCGGUCAUGCAUUCCAUCGUCACCCCUGAGUUCUGAUCAUCACUGUCCAUAUCUUUCGCCUCCGUGUAGAACGUGUAUCCGUUGAUAUCAUAUGCCUGAUAGGUUACGAGGUUGGGUGAGGGGCCAUGUGCUAAGGCGUAUAUGAGCAAUCCAUCCUUAGAGCCCUCCUCCGGGGGAUUAGCAAUAAUAUGCUCUUUGAACCAAUGCAGGAAAGUGGAGUUGUGCUCUCUAGUAACUUCGGCGUCCGUCCUGCAUACCCCCCGGUCACGAUACUUCUUUGCGAUAAUUUCUUUGUGCAGUGCCACGAAAGGAUCUACCUCGUCUAGGUGUUGUAGCACUACCAAGUUUUCUCUGUCAAAGUCGCUGCGUCGAUCUGAGUAUACCACGUGCAGUUCCCUGCGACCGUUGCAGUGACCAUCUCCUUCGAGCCUCCCAUCGUUCUUGUUAAUGGGCAAACCAACACUAACACCAGGCGGUUGGUCUGCGCCAUAUAGAAAAUUCUCGCAGAAAGAGAUGCACUCUUGUGCCAAAUAGCCCUGGACGAUGCUUCCAUCCGGACGGGACAUGUUACGAAGGAAUCCUUUGAUGAUCCUAUUCAUCCUCUCAAACGGCAUCAUGUUGUGCAGGAAUGAUGACCCCAGGUCUAUUAUGUCAUCCACAAUAUGGACACACAGAUGCACCAUCACGUCAAAGAACGCGGGCGGGAAGUACAGCUCAAGAUCAUUCAGUAUCACAACGAUCUCUUCCUGUAGCCUUUGGAGCUGCUUCACACUGAUCGACUUUCGAGAGAUGACGUCGAAAAAGUUGCAGAGACCAAUAAGCGUGUCACGGACGUGCUUGUCCAUUAUCCCUCUAAGGGCAAUAGGUAGUAUCUGCAUCAUCAUCACAUGACAGUCAUGAGACUUCAUCCCGUUGAACCUUUUCUUGUCCGUGUCUAGAUAUCUGCUUAUCUUGCCACAGUAACCGGAACUUACUUUGACUCCGGUAAGGCACUUAAAGAAUUGAUUGAUCUCAGCCUGACUUAAGGUGAAGCAAGAAGGGGGGCAAUAAUCCUCUUUCUUUAUUUUCUUGCCCUUCUUCUCCCGUGCCUCUGUCUCCGUCUCUGUCUCAUCUAACAUUUUAUGGGGCGGCAUGUGCAGAUCUUCCCUGAUUUUCAAAUCUUGCAAGUCUUUUCUUGCCUUCGGCCCAUCCUUGGUCUCAUCCGGCAUGUUCAUCAGUGUUGCGAGCAAGCUCUCAAGGACAUUCUUACAGAUAUGCAUUUGACCAAGGCAAUGAGGUGUAUCGAGUUUGUGCCAGUACUCCAAGUCCCAGAACACAGGCCUCGUCUUCCAUACCUUCAGCAGCGGCUCCGGCGCCUUUCUCAUCGUCUUUCCCGGCGCGGGGCACUCCUUCCAGUUUUUCAACAUCUCAUCAAUUUCGGCACCGCUCCGCUUACGUGGAGGUCCUCGAUGCUCAGCGUGACCAUUGUAUAGAUCUCCACGGUUUCUCCAUGGGUCGUCCUGUUCAAGCCAUCUUCGAUGCCCCAUGUACACGAUUUUCCCAGACCCGCCAUCUUUCCUUGACGUUAGCUGCUGAGACGUCGUAUCAUCCAUGCACCACGUGCAUCCGCAAUAUCCAUGGCACACCUGGCCUGCCACAUAUCCGUAACCGAGAUAGUCCUGCACUGUCGUGAUUAGCGCGGCUCUCAUGUUGAAAUACUCACCUUUGCUGGCGUCCCAUGUCUUGGCCGGUGUUUUCUAUAACAUGUCUAACUCCUCUUGAAGUAGCCCCAGAUACAAAUUAAUAUUAUUUCCUGGUUGUUUCGGCCCUUGAAUAAGCAUGCUCAUGUGAAUGUACUUCGAUUUCAUGCACAACCAGGGGGGAGGUUGUACAUCCAUACAAACACGGGCCAUGUGCUAUGGUUGGUGUUCUGGUUGCCAAACGGAUUCAUGCCAUAGGUACACGCACCGAGCACGAUGUUCCUUGCAUCACAUUCAAAAUACCGAUAGAAGCUGUUCAACGCUCUCCACUGGCUUCCAUCCUUCACGUGUCUCAGCUUCGGAUCGUCUCCAUCGUCGGGCUUCUUCCUCUCCGCGUGCCAGCGCAUUAGCUUAGCUUCCUUGGAAUCUACAAAAUACCUCUGGAGACGGGGAGUGAUCGGUAAGUACCAUACAACUUUCUGGGGACAUUUCUUCCCGGCCUUCUUGUAUCGAGAAGCAUUGCACACCGGACAGCUUGUUUUUUCCGCGUGCUCCUUCUGAUAAAUUAUGCAAUUGUUGAUGCAUGCAUGGUAUCUAACAUGUGGUAGAUCAAGAGGGCACACAAUCUUCUUGGCCUCAUCAACACUAGUAGGACAUAGAUUACCUGCGGGAAGAACAUCCUUUAGGUACUUGAGAUGCUCAUCGAGGCUAGUGUCGGUCCACUUGUUUUAGCCUUCGUCUUCAGGAGUUGGAGCGUGAAACUCAAGCGGGUCACCUCAGGAUUGCAACCAUCAUACAAUGGAGUGUUCGAGUCUACCACCAGUUGCUCCAGCUUAGCCUCCUCUCUAGAAGCAGCUCUCUCAGUACUCGUCUCCUUGCGAAGCAAUGCUUGAACAUGAGGGUCCCGCACAAUUGAACUUAGUACCGACGAACUCUGCUGCGUGGAGUCCAUGUCGUUCUCUCCGCCGCCAUGUGUCGGUGUACUAAAGUAGGGGUACCUUAGUACCCCGAACUUGUGCACGGGCAGUCGCAGCGUCCCGCGGCAAGGCUUGCCGGGCGUCCGCCAAGAUCCCCCGCCAUUCCUAUUUACUGCCAUUCAAGAACAAAGUGUUAGCUGAGAAGACAGAACCCUAGCAAGAGGAGCUUGCCGGGAGGGACAAGACCCCGACAAGAGGAGCUUGCCGGGGAGGCCAACCAAGGCAUUUCAAGAGACUUGCCGCGACGCUCCGCGCGUCCCGGCAAGACCCAGCGAGCGGCAAGCUUGCGGGUGCGACAAGACUGCAACCGCGGCAAGGCGCUUGCCGCGGCGAAGCCACCACUCUGCGCCCACGCUCCAGCACAUCCGACGACGUGUCGCCAUAGAAUCGCUCCUGGUGCACGUGGCGGGUAGCUGUGCAGCAUAGCGGUGCGAGGUGGCAAACAAAGAUGACAAGGAGGCCAUCGUGGCGAUCGGUGGCGCCCCUAACGGUGGUUUCCUACACUAUUUGAGCGACCAGACGGGCAUUAAAUGCCCUUGUCCCCUACCGUCAGAGUUAGGUAGGGGGCACUGUUGGUAGCAGUUGUACCAACUCGCGUUUUUACUCUUUUACCCCUCUUUCUACGCUGCCACCUGUCGGCGACCCCUUUAACCUAUAAAAAGGAGGCCCAUGCGCACGUAGAAAGGGGUCGGUUCAGCAGAACUCACUCGACACCACAACACACCCACGCUUUCGAGCAAGAACAGAAUAGAACACAAAGUAGCAGUAGGAUUUUUAUCUCUCCGGAGAGCUCCGAAGCUGGGUAAAAAUCCCCCGCGUGCUUUCGCCUCGAUCUGCUCUGCGUGCGCCCUCCGCUCCCUUGCCGGACAAGAAAAGGGGCCCUGCCCCAUAGGUGCUCGUUCCCCACGACAUCUCUGGCGCGCCAGGUAGGGGGGCGUCGAGGUCGUGCGUAUCUGAUCUGGCGUCCGCGCGCGCUACAUCAACAUCUACAUCGACAUGCCACCGAAGAAGAAGACUUCGGAGGUGGCCGCUCCGUCUGCGACUGUCCUGCCGCCACCGGAGCAAACGGGCGGUGGGGUGGACGCCGGCGGAGGAGCGGGCGCCGACGGUGGGACUCGCGUCAUCACCAGGUCCAAGGACAAGGCCCCGCAAGGUUCAGCAUCUGCACAUCCGCCACACCCCUCCCAGGAGGUGCAGGAUCGACAACGCCAUGGUGCUCCUAGCACCGUACUCGCGUUGGAACAAGGCCAAGCUGGUGGGUCGCGGGACGCUCAAGGCCAACGCACGCGUCAGCACGCCGGCACGAGCGCAGUGCGGUCGCCUGGACGAGAUGUUGGUCCUUCUAACACUGUUAGAAGUUUGAGCAUGUCCGGCACCUCGCGUCGCUCGCCACCGCCACCCAACACUCCAGAGGAAGCGCUGGCCCGAGCCUAGCUGCUUCUAGAUUACCCUCCAGCGCCAGACAAGAUCGACGACUGGAGGGCCGCCAUUCAGAGCCUCAUUGGCUUCGCCAACGGCGACAAGCCCCGGCAACCGAGCGCAUCGAAGCCCCGGCAAGAGGCCCAGGCGCAAGCCGACGCCAACAAGACCACUGGGGGUGCCACCACUGUGCACUCCCCGCCCCGAAGGCCAAGAUUGCCGACUCGCCGGGCCAACCUCGACACCGACUCCACCGCGUCGUCGGACCCGCGAGCUCGCCGCGAUCAACGCCAAGUUCUCCAAGAACGACGACACGAAGACACUCGCACUCGCAUCGAGCGUCGAAGAGAAGCGCGACGUCAAUCUGACCAGUGCACUGGGCCCACUGUCGAUAUGCAUGCGCCAGGGGAACCAGGCGACUUGCCAUACGCGGUAGGUUGCCCUGCGUUCACCCGUGAGCUGCGGCAGGUCGAGUGGCCCAGUACCAAGAACUUCAAGCCAGACGUGCCCGAGAAGUAUGAUGGCAGGAUACAUCCGUCAGAGUUCCUCAGCGUCUACACCAUCGCGGUGCAGGCUGCCGGGGGGCGCGACGAGAAGAUCCUCGCUAACUACUUCCCGCUGGUGCUCAAGCCCAACGUCAGAUCUUGGCUCAUGCACUUGCUGGACAACUCCAUCUCUUCGUGGGCGGACCUGUGUCAUCAGUUUGUCGGCGCCUUCACAGGCGGCCACAAACCCCAUGGCCAGGAGAGCGAUCUUCAUCUGCUCGCCCAGAAGGAAGGAGAACCCCUGCGCAAGUAUAUACAGAGAUUCAGUCAGGUGCAGCGCAACAUCCCAGACGUCCACCCUGCCGCGGUUAUCAGCGCGUUCCAUCAGAACGUGCAUAACCGUAGGAUUAGGGAGGAGAUGGUGAUGUGCAAAAUCAGAGAUGUCAGCGAGCUAUAUGCUCUAGCCGACAAGUGUGCACGGGCUGAAGAGGGGAGGAGACUCCCCGGAGAGAACGCAAGAGCAGAAGGAUCUGACAGUGAGGACGCCCCUCCGGCAAAGAGGAACCGGAGGCGAAAUAACAGAAAGAGGAAAGCUAAGGAUGUUCUAGUUGUUGAGCAGUCCGGCAAUGGAGGCGGUUCCGAGAAGGCCAAAACUGGUGACUCCGGCAAGGCUGUGGUAGCCGCCGACAAGCAGGACGGCUCCGGCAAGCAGUACUACAAGAUCCACCGCACCAAGGGCCACGACCUCCAAGCUUGCAAGAAGGUUGAGCAGAUGGCAGAGCUACAGAAAGCUGAAUACGAGCGCCGCGACAAGGAGAAGGCCCAUGAAGGUGGCGGAGGAUCCGGCAAGAAGCGUCCCGCCCGGGGAGGGCGCCGCGGCAAGGCCAAGCAGCGCCAAGGAGAUAGGCCUCCCCGUGGCCGCGACAAAGACGAAGACGAAGAUGAAGAUGAUGAUAUGGAGGAGGAUGAGACUGAUGAGCAGGAGUUUCAGAAGGCAACAGAGGUGUUGUGCGUCGACGGCGGUGCUUCUCUGCACACCUCGCACCGCCAACUCAAACAGUGGGUGCGGGAAGUGAACGCAGCAGAACCGUCCGUUGAGUCACGCAAGCCCCUGAAGUGGUCCAGCACGCCCAUCAUCUUCGACGUUGAGGAUCACCCUGAUCGCAUCACUGCGGUCGGGUGCUUGCCGAUGUUGGUUUCGCCAACAAUCCGCAACCUCAACGUCACGAAGAUGCUGGUUGACGGCGGGGCCGGCCUGAAUCUGAUCUCCUCCGCAGUGCUCAAGAAGCUCCAGAUCCCCGACAGCGAGCUCGAAGAGACUGGUACCUAUCAAUGAAUAAACCCAGGAAGGAGCAAGCCGAAGGGGAAGAUCACGCUGCCGGUGACAUUUGGUAGCGAGUUGAAUUUCAGGACAGAGAGAGUCACAUUUGACGUUGCUGAUUUCCCAUUGCCCUACAAUGGGAUACUUGGCCGUCCAGCGCUUGCCAAGUUCAUGGCAGCCUCUCACUACGCCUACAAUGUGCUCAAGAUGCCUGGUCCGAUAAGUGUUAUUUCCGUCCAUGGCGACAAGAAAGAUGCACUUAUCUGUACCGACAAGAUCUACCGGGAAGCAGCAGCCGCCGCAGAGCGCAAACCACUUGCCGCUGAAGCUCCCGGGGGGAAGAAGAAGAACAAGUCCGGCAAGAGUAGCUCUGAUGCCCACUCCGGCAAGCGCACCUCUGUGGAGUGCUGCGCUACCGUCGAGGACGCACCAUCGAGCUCCACCGGCAAGUGCAAGAAGGCAAAGACAGCUUCACCAGAGACCAAGAAAGUGGCCGCCAAGGAGGACGGCACUGGUGGUACCUUCACCAUCAGUGCCACGCUUGACCCUAAAUAGGAAAGUGCGCUCGUUGCUUUCCUGCGGGCGAAUGUCGAUGUGUUUGCAUGGCAACCAUCUGACAUCCCCGGUGUUCCCAGGAAAGUAAUCGAGCACCACCUUGCCAUCUGCCCUCACGCGCGGCCCGUCAAGCAGAGAGUCAGAAAACAAGCAGUGGAGAGACAAGAAUUCAUUGCAGAAGAGAUCAAGAAAUUGGAAGCAGCAGGCCUGGUCCGAGGAGUACUCCAUCCAACGUGGUUAGCCAAUCCAGUAGUCGUGCGCAAAGCAAACGGGAAGUGGAGGCUUUGUAUUGACUUCACUGAUGUUAAUAAAGCUUGUCCCAAGGAUCCAUUUCCCUUGCCGCGCAUUGACCAGAUUGUCGACUCCACGGCAGGAUGUGACCUGCUUUCAUUCCUUGAUGCAUAUUCAGGAUAUCAUCAGAUCUUCAUGGCAGAAGAGGAUGAAGAGAAAACCGCAUUCAUUACUCCAUGUGGCACGUACUGCUUUGUACGGAUGCCUUUCGGACUAAAGAAUGCUGGUUCAACAUUUGCAAGAGUAGUCAGUCAUGCUUUUGAGCCACAGCUGCACAGAAAUGUAGAAGCUUACAUGGAUGACAUAGUGGUCAAGAGCAAGGACAAAGAAACUCUGAUCCAAGAUUUGGACGAGACUUUUGCAAAUCUGCGCAAGAUCAAUCUCAAGUUGAACCCCGAGAAGUGCGUGUUUGGAGUUCCUUCCGGCAAGCUUCUCGGGUUCUUUGUGUCCCAGAGGGGGAUCGAAGCCAAUCCCGACAAGAUCAAGGCCAUCAAGCAAAUCGAAGCACCGAAGCGAGUCAAGGACGUACGAAGGCUUGCCGGCUGCGUUGCUGCUCUCAGUAGGUUCAUCUCCAAGUCUGCUGAACGCGCCCUGCCAUUUUUCAAAAUUCUGAAAAAGGAAGGUCCAAUGAAAUGGACUUCGGAAGCGGAGGCUGCGCUGCAGGACCUGAAGAGAUACCUAUCCUCCACUCCAAUACUUGUCGCACCUAAGCCACAAGAGAAGUUGCUGCUAUAUCUGGCGGCAGCCAAUCAAGUGGUUAGUGCUGCGUUGGUAGCGGAGAGGGAGGCGGAUGAUGGGCCAGCGACCGCGGCAAGCGAGUCCAACGACCAGGAGGGGGCUUCCCCGACAAGCUCUGGCCCGACAAGCCCUGAUCCGACAAGUCCCGGUCCCGACAAGGAUGGAUCUGCGCGGCUGCAAGAGAAGAAGUAGAGGAAGAUGGUGCAUCGCCCAGUUUACUUUGUCAGUUCCCUUCUGCAGGGGGCUAGAUCAACGCAAAAGAGCGCUGAGGAGCAGUCUGCUCCGACAAGCCCUAGGGCUUGCUUCGUUGAAGCAGACGCUCCCGACAAGCUGUGUCCCGACACACUUGCCGGGGAGCAUCAUGCUCCGGCAGGAUCCCAGAUUCUUGCCGUGGAAGCAGAUGUUCCCGCAGCAGCAUUUGCGCCUUUAGUCCUUGUCGUCGAGCCACAAGCUCCGGCAUGGGCACAGCAGAUCGUCCUUUUCCUUCAGACAGGAGAACUUCUCGAAGAGCAAGAAGAAGCGGAGAAUGGCCUUGCUGGGACACGGACGACAGAAAAGCUAAGUUGCCAAAGUUUGAGCAUGAUCAAGUUUUUAAAUUUUUUAAGUUAUACUCCUUGAACGACCGUGCCUUGUAUGGAAAACCUGUGCGUGGAGGAAUCGACUCGUGGCUAAGUUGCGCCCUUAAUUUGUUUCGAGUCCGCUCAACAAUGAAAGUGUGCUGCAACUAGCCCCGACAAGGUUUCUUGCUGGAAGCAACAACCGCCGGCAGGCUGCUGAUGUUCCGCACUCAGAGCUCGCGGCAAGCGUGCUUGCGCCGGCAAGUUCCCUAAAAGCGUAGGGUAAAAACAUACAAGGGAUGGAAUCGAAGAAAGGAUAUAACAUAGCAAGCAUUCCCUCUUUCAUUGAAAAACAUCCCACUCGGGUACAGUCCAGAGAGGAUGAAAAACAUGAAAGAAGGGAUUACAAGUUUUCGAUGCGGCUAAGGCCCGGAGGCUUACAAAUUAAAAAGAUAAGAUGCCCGUAAUCCCUUUCCUGUCCCUCUCUGCAGGAGGUAGGUCAAGGAGGCGAAAAGGGCAAAAGGGGCGCCUAGGUGAGCUACAGGUGCCAGAAGACACUAAGAGAACAUCCCGGGGGCCGUCCGAAGGCUGGACGGUGAUGGCGGCGCCGGAAGCGGGGCUCGAAGAUGGGGCGGCAGGACGUCAGCACGCUGUCGAGGGCACUACGCCCUCGUACUCCGACUUGACGGCCUUGUCGCCAGCCCUCUUCCCCUUCCGCAGCCUCCCUAUGCCAGCCGCCCAAGGAGACGACCCCGGGGAGUUCAAGGAGCCGACGACACGGAUGAUGGGGUCGCCGGUGACGAACGAAGCAGCGCCCGACACCUAGUCGGGCCCGCCACCCCGCCGCCCGCUACCCUCAUCGUCGCUGUCGCUCUCCUCCUCGUCACUCUCGCUCGAAGGGGAGUCUUCGCUAUCGGAGGAGCUGUCCACGUAGCACUUCGCCCGAGUGCCGGAGUCCCCGAAGACUUUGACGGAGAGGAGAUCGCCCUCCAUUAACUUAAAAUGGAGGGUAAACCCCGCCAUCAGGCUAUGGAUACGAGCGAACGUCUUCCACCCACGAUCAAGAUACAUCACAUUGGGGGCUGGGAAUACAACGCGGACUCACGUGCCACUGAUCCCACAGCCCCUCAUGUGCAGUCUCAAUGUCUCAGGCAGGUCCAGCUCCAUCGCGCUCGCAAACGGAGCUGGAAGCCGGAGGCGACGACGAGGCGCCCGGCGCAGCCUGACGAAGAACUCGCAAGGGUCGUCCCCUGUAUGGACCGCCCUGGGGGGAGGAACCGCCGGCGGAGACGGAGAUGACGCGCUGCCCCGUCCGCCUCUUCCCCGAGCGCCUCGACCUCGUCCUCGACCUCGUCCACGACCUCGCCCCCUCCCUCUUCCCCUUAUGGCUGGCUCUGCCACCACGGGCGCAGGAUAGGGAGGGGCGCGCUGUCUGGCGGCGACCCUCGCCGCCACCGAUGAAGGGCCAGGGUUCCCUUCCUCCAUGGCGAAUGAGAGAAAGAGGAGCAGAAGCUGAAGAAAGGAGAAGAUGGGAGAGUGCAGGCUUCUGCGCUCCCCGCCCGCUCUUCUUAAAGGAGCGAGGUGGGGGCUCGGCCGCCCCGCUCAGCGAAUCAGGGCACGGGAAGAGCAGGGAGUCGGGGCCGACCCGCUACCUCCGCUCGCAACGGCCCAGUUUCCCACUUCCACCGUCCGCGACCCCAAGUGCAUGGGAGCCGCGUGGCGGGGAUGCAGAACCAAGGCGAAUGUUACGCAUUUUAUGGAUUUAAGUAUUGCCCACGAUCUCUCCCACGACACCGCGAUUGACGCGUGCCGUUACAAGGGAGCGCGGUGGAUACGGAGUGGAUUUGGUUUGGACCCAGGCCGCGCGUGCCCGUGCCCUGUUUUGGGCCUGGCCCAACAGCGCUCGGCAUCGUGUAUGGCCCAGGCCCGGGGGCUCCUGUCAGUGUACUAAAGUAGGGGUACCUUAGUACCCCGAACUUGUGCACGGGCAGUCGCAGCGUCCCACGGCAAGGCUUGCCGGGCGUCCGCCAAGAUCCUCCGCCAUUCCUAUUUACUGCCAUUCAAGAACAAAGUGUUAGCUGAGAAGACAGAACCCCAGCAAGAGGAGCUUGCCGGGAGGGACAAGACCCCGGCAAGAGGAGCUUGCCGGGGAGGCCAACCAAGGCACUUCAAGAGACUUGCCGCGACGCUCCGCGCGUCCCGGCAAGACCCAUCGAGCGGCAAGCUUGCGGGUGCGACAAGACUACAACCGCGGCAAGGCGCUUGCCGCGGCGAAGCCACCACUCUGCGCCCACGCUCCAGCACAUCCGACGACGUGUCUCCAUAGGAUCGCUCCUGGUGCACGUGGCGGGUAGCUGUGCAGCAUAGCAGUGCGAGGUGGCAAACAAAGAUGACAAGGAGGCCAUCGUGGCGAUCGGUGGCGCCCCUAACGGUCGUUUCCUACACUGUUUGAGCGACCAGACGGGCAUUAAAUGCCCUUGUCCCCUGCCGUCAGAGUUAGGUAGGGGGCACUGUUGGUAGGAGUUGUACCAAACCGCGUUUUUACUCUUUUACCCCUCUUUCUACGCUGCCACCUGUCGGUGACCCCUUUAACCUAUAAAAAGGAGGCCCAUGCGCACGUAGAAAGGGGUCGGUUCAGCAGAACUCACUCGACACCACAACACACCCACGCUUUCGAGCAAGAACAGAAUAGAACACAAAGCAGCAGUAGGAGUUUUAUCUCUCCGGAGAGCUCCGAAGCUGGGUAAAAAUCCCCCGCGUGCUUUCGCCUCGAUCUGCUCUGCGUGCGCCCUCUGCUCCCUUGCCGGACAAGAAAAGGGGCCCUGCCCCAUAGGUGCUCGCUCCCCAUGACACCAUGUCCGGCCCCUUCUCCUCCGCCAUGUCUGGCCCCUUCUCCUCCGCCAUGUCCGGCCUCUUCCCCGCCGCCAUUAUCGAUCAUCUCUUCGUCUUGCCCCGUGUCAUCAUUCCCUGCCCCGUCGGCAUCCUCAACAUCGUCAUCCUCAUCUUCAAUUAUCCACCGAGUAUAGCCAUCCAUGAAACUAGUCAUGAGCAGGUGCGCUUUGACACGACCAUCGUCAUGGGGGUCGAGCCAAACUAUUCCUUUGCACUUUCGACACGGACAUAAAACCUCUGUCCGGUUAUUUUCUUUCAUGUCCUGCACCGCCGACCGCAACCACCUGUCCACCAUCGUUCCACUGACCAUCGUCAACUCUGCACGGUAAUAAUAAAAAAAUUGACUGUAAAAAUGCAUGCAUGCAUCAAAGUCAUAAAAAAAUUUGGCAUGACCUUCCCUAAAAAUAGGACAUAUAUGGAUCUAGAGUUUGCCCGGAAUUCGCCGAAACGGAAAUAAAUCGACAUUUCGGCAAAACAUAGGCAACUCAAAAGCACAAUUUGGCGUCAGCUCAUGCCACACACACAAUUUCAACAAACAUAUCACACACACAUAAACAUAUUUCCAUUUUGCAAAAUGAAAUUUUCAUCACCUCUAUCUCGAUCGAGAUCGAGCACAUGGUGGAGAUGAUGUUGUAGGGAGAUCAAAAGUGCACAAAGCUCUUCUUGACAAAGAUAGAUCUAGUUAGGGAGCAAAUAGGUCACUUAACUAAAUCCUACAUCUACCUAGCUACCUAAUUUGGGAGCAGACAACUUCAACUAGUGGAGGGGGAAUGAAAAAGAGAAAGGAGAUGCAUUAAUGGNNNNNNNNNNNNNNNNNNNNNNNNNNNNNNNNNNNNNNNNNNNNNNNNNNNNNNNNNNNNNNNNNNNNNNNNNNNNNNNNNNNNNNNNNNNNNNNNNNNNNNNNNNNNNNNNNNNNNNNNNNNNNNNNNNNNNNNNNNNNNNNNNNNNNNNNNNNNNNNNNNNNNNNNNNNNNNNNNNNNNNNNNNNNNNNNNNNNNNNNNNNNNNNNNNNNNNNNNNNNNNNNNNNNAGAGUGGGAGCAUUUGGGGGAGGUAGGGGGAAGGGAAGAGAGGAGGGGGAGGGGGAGGUAGGGGGAAGGGAAAGAGAGGAGGGGGAGGGGAGGGACGGGUGGGGAAAGGUGGUGGGUUGGUGCGGGUUAGCAGUAGCGCGGGAUCGAAAACGCGCUGCUGCUAAGGAAUUAGCAGCAGCGCACUUUGGGAUACAGCGCUACUGCUAACUGAUACAAAAAAGUGUGGCAAUUUAAAAUUUAGCAGCAGCGAUCACAGAAAAAGCGCGCUACUACUACAUCCUUAGCAGUAGCAUGGUUCGCGCGACCGCGCUACUGCUAAUUAGAGUUAGGUGAACACUACCGGUCGAUAUUUGUAGCAGCGCGUUUUACGCCGAGCGCGCUACUGCUAAAUCCUUAUCAGCAGCGAGUUUCCCGCACACGCGCUACUACUAGUUAGCAGCAGCGCUCCUUUUUGAGCCGCGCUGCUGCUAAGAUUCUGUGUAUAGGCUUUUCCCUAGUAGUGAAGGGGGGGACUUGCCGCCCAAGUCAAGUGGGGCGCCCCCCCACCCCUAGGGUUUCCAACCGUUGGCGUAGGGGAGGCCCAAGGGGGGUGCACCAGCCCACUAGGGGCUGGUUACCCUCCCCACUUCAGCCCAUGGGGCCCUCCGGGACAGGUGGCCCCACCCGGUGGACCCCCGGGACCCUUCCGGUGGUCCCGGUAUAAUACGGGUGACCCUCGAAACUUUCCCGAUGGCCGAAACUGGACUUCCUAUAUACAAUUCUUCACCUCCGGACCAUUCCGGAACUCCUCGUGACGUCCGGGAUCUCAUCCGAGAUUCCGAACAUCUUUCGGGUUACCACAUACUUAUAUCUCUACAACCCUAGUGUCACCGAACCUUAAGUGUGUAGACCCUACGGGUUCGGCAGACACGCGGACAUGACCGAGACGACUCUCUGGCCAAUAACCAACAGCGGGAUCUGAAUACCCAUGUUGGCUCCCACAUGCUCCUCGAUGAUCUCAUCGAAUGAACCACGAUGUCGAGGAUUCAAUUAAUCCCGUAUCCAAUUCCCUUUGUCAAUCGGUAUGUUACUUGCCCGAGAUUUGAUCGUCGGUAUCCCAAUACCUUGUUCAAUCUCGUGACCGGCAAGUCACUUUACUCGUACCAUAAUGCAUGAUCCCGUGACCAACCACUUAGUCACUUUGAGAUCAUUAUGAUGAUGCAUUACCGAGUGGGCCCAGAGACACCUCUCCGUCAUACGGAGUGACAAAUCCCAGUCUCGAUCCGCGUCAACACAACAGACACUUUUGGAGAUACCUGUAGUAUACCUUUAUAGUCACCCAGUUACGUUGUGACGUUUGGUACACCCAAAGCACUCCUACGGCAUCCGGGAGUUACACGAUCUCAUGGUCUAAGGAAAUGAUGCUUGACAUUGGAAAAGCUCUAGCAAACGAACUACACGAUCUUGUGCUAUGCUUAGGAUUGGGUCCAUCCAUCACAUCAUUCUCGCAAUGAUGUGAUCCCGUUAUUAAUGACAUCCAAUGUCCAUGGUCAGGAAACCGUGACCAUCUAUUGAUAAACGAGCUAGUCAACUAGAGGCUUACUAGGGACAUGUUGUGGUCUAUGUAUUCACACAUGUAUUACGAUUUCCGGAUAACACAAUUAUAGCAUGAAUAAAAGACAAUUACCAUGAACAAGGAAAUAUAAUAAUAACCAUUUUAUUAUUGCCUCUAGGGCAUAUUUCCAACAGUCUCCCACUUGCACUAGAGUCAAUAAUCUAGUUACAUUGUGAUGAAUUGAACACCCAUAGAUUUUUGGUGUUGAUCAUGUUUUGCUCGCGGAAGAGGUUUAGUCAACGAAUCUGCGACAUUCAGAUCCAUAUGCACUUUGCAAAUAUCUAUGUCUCCAUCUUGAACAUUUUCACGAAUGGAGUUGAAGCGACGCUUGAUGUGCUUGGUCUUCUUGUGAAACCUGGGCUCCUUGGCAAGGGCAAUAGCUCCAGUGUUGUCACAGAAGAGUGUGAUCGGCCCCGACGCAUUAGGUAUGACUCCUAGGUCGGUGAUGAACUCCUUCAGCCAGAUUGCUUCAUGCGCUGCCUCCGAGGCUGCCAUGUACUCCGCUUCACAUGUAGAUCCCGCCACGAUGCUUUGCUUGCAACUGCACCAGCUUACUGUCCCACCAUUCAAAAUAUACACGUAUCCGGUCUGUGACUUAGAGUCAUCCAGAUCUGUGUCGAAGCUAGCGUCGACGUAACCCUUUACGACGAGCUUUUCGUCACCUCCAUAUACGAGAAACAUAUUUUUAGUCCUUUUCAGGUACUUCAGGAUAUUCUUGACCGCUGUCCAGUGUUCCAUGCCGGGAUUACUUUGGUACCUUCCUACCAAACUUACGGCAAGGUUUACAUCAGGUCUGGUACACAUCAUGGCAUACAUGAUAUACCCUAUGGCUGAGGCAUAGGGGACGACACUCAUCUUUUCUCUAUCUUCUGCCGUGGUCGGACAUUGAGCCGAGCUCAAUUUCACACCUUGCAAUACAGGCAAGAACCCCUUUCUGGGACUGAUCCAUAUUGAACUUCCUCAAUAUCUUAUCAAGGUAUGCGCUUUGUGAAAGACCUAUGAGGCGUCUCGAUCUAUCUCUAUAGAUCUUGAUGCCUAAUAUGUAAGCAUCUUCUCCAAGGUCCUUCAUUGAAAAACACUUAUUCAAGUAGGCCUUAAUGCUGUCCAAAGUUCUAUAUCAUUUCCCAUCAAAAGUACGUCAUCCACAUAUAAUAUGAGAAAUGCUACAGAGCUCCCACUCACUUUCUUGUAAACGCAGGCUUCUCCAUAAGUCUGCACAAACCCAAACACUUUGAUCAUUUCAUUAAAGCGAAUGUUCCAACUCCUAGAUGCUUGCACCAGCCCAUAGAUGGAGCACUAGAGCUUGCAUACCUUGUUAGCAUUUUUAGGAUCGACAAAACCUUCCGGCUGCAUCAUAUAUAGUUCUUCCUUAAGAUGGUCGUUAAGGAAUGCCGUUUUGAAGUCCAUUUGCCAUAUUUCAUAAUCAUAGUAUGCGGCAAUUGCUAACAUGAUUCGGACGGACUUCAGCUUCGCUACGGGAGAGAAAGUCUCAUCGUAGUCAACCCCUUGAACUUGUCGAUAACCCUUAGCGACAAGUCGAGAUUUAUAGAUGGUAACAUUACCAUCCGCGUCCGUCUUCUUCUUAAGGAUCCAUUUGUUUUCUAUUGCUCGCCGAUCAUCGGGCAAGUCUGUCAAAGUCCAUACUUAGUUUUCAUACAUGGAUCCUAUCUCGGAUUGCAUGGCUUCAAGCCAUUUGUUGGAAUCUGGGCCCGCCAUUGCUUCUUCAUAGUUCGAAGGUUCACCGUUGUCUAACAACAUGAUUUCCAGGACAGGGUUGCCAUACCACUCUGGUGUGAACGUGUCCUCGUGGACCUAUGAAGUUCAGUAGUAACUUGAUCCGAAGUACCUUGAUCAUCAUCAUUAGUUUCCUCUCUAGUCAGUGCAGGCACCACAGGAACAUCUUCCUGAGCUGCGCUACUUUUAAGAGGUAGUACUUCAUCAAGUUCCACUUUCCUCCCACUUACUUCUUUCGAGAGAAACUCUUUCUCCAGAAAGGACCCGUUCUUGGCAACAAAGAUCUUGCCUUCGGAUCUGAGGUAGAAGGUAUACCCAAUGGUUUCCUUAGGGUAUCCUAUGAAGACGCAUUUUUCCGACUUGGGUUCGAGCUUUUCAGGUUGAAGUGUCUUGACAUAAGCAUCGCAUCCCCAAACUUUUAGAAACGAUAGCUUAGGUUUCUUCCCAAACCAUAAUUCAUACGGUGUCGUCUCAACGGAUUUAGACGGUGCCCUAUUUAAAGUGAAUGUAGCUGUCUCUAGAGCGUAUCCCCAAAAUGAUAGCGGUAAAUUGAUGAGUGACAUCAUAGAUCGCACCAUAUCCAAUAGAGUGCGAUUACGAUGUUCGGACACACCGUUACGCUGAGGUGUUCUAGGCGGCGUGAGUUGUGAAAUGAUUCCACAUUUCCUUAAGUGUGUACCAAAUUCGUGACUUAAAUAUUCUCCCCCAUGAUCUGAUCGUAAGAACUUUAUCUUUCGGUCACGUUGAUUCUCUACCUCAUUCUGAAAUUCCUUGAACUUUUCAAAGGUCUCAGACUUGUGUUUCAUCAAGUAGACAUACCCAUAUCUACUCAAGUCGUCAAUGAGAGUGAGAACAUAACGAUAUCCUCCGCGAGCCUCAACGCUCAUUGGACAGCACACAUCAGUAUGUAUGAUUUCCAAUAAGUUGGUUGUUCGCUCCAUUGUUCCGGAGAAUGGAGUCUUAGUCAUUUUGCCCAUAAGGCAUGGUUCGCACGUGUCAAAUGAUUCGUAAUCAAGAGACUCCAAAAGUCCAUCAGCAUGGAGCUUCUUCAUGCGUUUGACACCAAUGUGACCAAGGUGGCAGUGCCACAAGUAUGUGGGACUAUCGUUAUCAACUUUACAUCUUUUGGUAUUCACACUAUGAAUAUGUGUAAGAUCAUGUUCGAGAUUCAUUAAGAAUAAACCAUUGACCAGCGGGGCAUGACCAUAAAACAUAUCUCUCAUAUAAAUAGAACAACCAUUAUUCUCGGAUUUAAAUGAGUAGCCAUCUCGCAUUAAACGAGAUCCAGAUACAAUGUUCAUGCUCAAAGCUGGCACUAAAUAACAAUUAUUGAGGUUUAAAACUAAUCCCGUAGGUAAAUGUAGAGGUAGCGUGCCGACGGCGAUCACAUCGACCUUGGAACCAUUCCCGACGCGCAUCGUCACCUCGUCCUUCGCCAAUCUCCGCUUAUUCCGCAGCUCCUGUUUUGAGUUACAAAUAUGAGCAACCGCACCGGUAUCAAAUACCCAGGAGCUACUACGAGUACUGGUAAGGUACACAUCAAUUACAUGUAUAUCACAUAUACCUUUAGUGUUGUUGGCCUUCUUGUCCGCUAAGUAUUUGGGGCAGUUCCGCUUCCAGUGUCCCUUUCCCUUGCAAUAAAAGCACUCAGUCUCAGGCUUGGGUCCAUUCUUUGGCUUCUUCCCGGCAGCUGGCUUACCGGGCGCGGCAACUCCCUUGCCGUCCUUCUUGAAGUUCUUCUUACCCUUGCCUUUCUGGACACUAGUGGUUUUAUUGACCAUCAACACUUGAUGUUCAUUUUUGAUUUCCACCUCUGCUGAUUUCAGCAUUGAAAAUACUUCAGGAAUAGUUAUCACCAUCCCCUGCAUAUUGUAGUUCAUCACAAAGCUCUUGUAGCUAGGUGGGAGCGACUAAAGGAUGCUGUCAAUGACCGCCUCGUUCGGGAGGUUAAUCUCCAGCUGGGACAAGUGGUUGUGCAACCCAGACAUUUUGAGUAUGUGCUCACUGAUAAAACUAUUUUCCUCCAUCUUACAACUGUAGAACUUGUCGAAGACUUCAUAUCUCUCGACCCGGGCAUGAGCUUGGAAAACCAUUUUCAGCUCUUCGAACAUCUCAUAUGCUCCGUGUUGCUCAAAACGCUUUUGGAGCCCCGGUUCUAAGCUGUAAAGCAUGCCACACUGAACGAGGGAGUAAUCAUCAGCACGUGACUGCCAAGCGUUCAUAACGUCUUGGUUCUUUGGAUAGGGUGCUUCACCUAGCGGUCCUUCUAGGACAUAUGCUUUCUUGGCAGCUAUGAGGAUGAUCCUCAGGUUCCGGACCCAGUCCGAAUAGUUGCUGCCAUCAUCUUUCAGCUUGGUUUUCUCUAGGAACGCGUUGAAGUUGAGGUUGACAUGAGUGUUGGCCAUUUGAUCUACAAGACAUUUUGCAAAGGUUUUUAGACUAAGUUCAUGAUAAUUAAGUUCAUCUAAUCAAUUUAUUUAAUGAACUCCCACUCAGAUUAGACAUCCCUCUAGUCAUCUAAGUGAUACAUGAUCCAACUCAACUAGACCGUGUACGAUCAUCAUGUGAGCGGACUAGUCAUCAUCGGUGAACAUCUCCAUGUUGAUCGUAUCUUCCAUACGACUCAUGUUCAACCUUUCGGUCUCUUGUGUUCCGAGGCCAUGUCUGUACAUGCUAGGCUUGUCAAGUCAACCUAAGUGUUUUGCAUGUGUAAAUCUGUCUUACACCCGUUGUAUGUGAACGUUAGAAUGUAUCACACCCGAUCAUCACGUGGUGCUUCUAAACAACGAACUUUCGCAACGGCGCACAGUUAGGGGGAACACUUUCUUGAAAUUAUUAUAAGUGAUCAUCUUAUUUACUACCGUCGUACUAAGCAAAUAAGAAGCAAAACAUGAUAAACAUCACAUGCAAUCAAAUAGUGACAUGAUAUGGCCAAUAUCAUAUUGCUCCUUUGAUCUCCAUCUUCGGGGCGCCAUGAUCGUAUUCGUCACCGGCAUGACACCAUGAUCUCCAUCAUCGUGUCUUCAUGAAGUUGUCACGCCAACGAUUACUUAGACUUCUAUGGCAAACGUGUUUAGCAAUAAAGUAAAGUAAUUUACAUGGCGUUAUUCAAUGACACGCAGGUCAUACAAAAAAUAAAGACAACUCCUAUGGCUCCUGCCGGCUGUCAUACUCAUCGACAUGCAAGUCGUGAUUCCUAUUACAAGAACAUGAUCAAUCUCAUACAUCACAUAUAUCAUUCAUCACAUCCUUUUAGCCAUAUCACAUCACAAGGCAUAUGCUGCAAAAACAAGUUAGAUGUCCUCUAAUUGUUGUUGCAUGUUUUUACGUGGCUUCUAUAGGUUUCUAGCAAGAACGUUUCUUACCUACAUAAAAGCACAACGUGAUAUGCCAAUUUCUAUUUACCCUUAAUAAGGACCCUUUUCAUCCAAUCCGAUCCGACUAAAGUGGGAGAGACAGACACCUGCUAGCCACCUUAUGCAACGAGUGCAUGUUAGUCGGUGGAACCUGUCUCACGUAAGCGUACGUGUAAGGUCGGUCCGGGCCGCUUCAUCCCACGAUGCCGCCGAAGCAAGAUAAGACUAGUAGUGGCAAGAAAAUUGACAACAUCUACACCCACAACAAGUUUGUGUUCUACUCAUGCAUAGAAACUACGCAUAGACCUAGCUCAUGAUGCCACUGUUGGGGAACGUUGCAGAAAAUAAAAAAUUUCUAUGCUUCACCCAGAUCAAUCUAUGGAGUCAUCUAGCAAUGAGAGAGAGGAGUGCAUCUACAUACCCUUGUAGAUCACGCGCGGAAGCGUUCAAGACAACGGGGUUGAGGGAGUCGUACUCGUCGUGAUCCAAAUCACCGAAUAUCCUAGUGCCGAACGGACGGCACCUCUGCGUUCAACACACGUACGGUUGUGGAAGACGUCUCCUCCUUCUUGAUCCAGCAAGGGGGAGGGAGAGGUUGAUGGAGAUCCAGCAGCACGACGGCGUGGUGGUGGAAGCAGCAGCGAUCUCGGCAGGGCUUCGCCAAGCUCUACAAGAGGGAGAGGUGUUGCGGAGGGAGAGGGAGGCGCUAGGAGCAGGGGUGCGCAGCCCUCCCUCCCCCCUCUUUAUAUAGGGGCCCUGGGGGGCGCUGGCCCCUGGAGAUCCCAUCUCAAGGGGGGACUUGCCCCCCAAGUCAAGUGGGGCGCCCCCACCCCUAGGGUUUCCAACCCUAGGCGCAGGGGAGGCACAAGGGGGGCGCACCAGCCCACCAGGGGCUGGUUCCACUCCCAACUUCAGCCCAUGAGGCCCUCCGGGAUAGGUGGCCCCACCCGGUGGACCCCCGGGACCCUUCCGGUGGUCCCGGUACAAUACCCGUGACCCCCGAAACUUUCCCGAUGGCUGAAACUGGACUUCCCAUAUACAAUUCUUCACCUCCGGACCAUUCCGGAACUCCUCGUGAAGUCCAGGAUCUCAUCCGGGACUCUGAACAACUUUCGGGUUCCCGCAUACUUAUAUCUCUACAACCCUAGCGUCACCGAACCUUAAGUGUGUAGACCCUACGGGUUCAGGAGACACGCGGACAUGACCGAGACGACUCUUCGGCCAAUAACCAACAGCGGGAUCUGGAUACCCAUGUUGGCUCCCACAUGCUCCUCGAUGAUCUCAUCGAAUGAACCAUGAUGUCGAGGAUUCAAUUAAUCCCAUAUACAAUUCCCUUGGUCAAUCGGUACGUCACAUGCCCGAGAUUCGAUCGUUGGUAUCCCAAUACCUCGUUCAAUCUCGUGACCAGCAAGUUACUUUACUCGUACCAUAAUGCAUGAUCCCGUGACCAACCACUUAGUCACUCUGAGCUCAUUAUGAUGAUUCAUUACCGAGUGGGCCUAGAGAUACCUCUCCGUCAUACAGAGUGACAAAUCCCAGUCUCGAUCCGCGUCAACCCAACAGACACUUUCGGAGAUACCUGUAGUAUACCUUUAUAGUCACCCAGUUACGUUGUGACGUUUGGUACACCGAAAGCUCUCCUACGGCAUCCGGGAGUUACACGAUCUCAUGGUCUAAGGAUAUGAUGCUUGACAUUGGAAAAGCUCUAGCAAAUGAACUACACGAUCUUGUGCUAUGCUUAGGAUUGGGUCUCGUCCAUCACAUCAUUCUCCCAAUGAUGUGAUCCCAUUAUCAAUGACAUCCAAUGUCAAUGUCAGGAAACCAUGACCAUCUAUUGAUAAACAAGCUAGUCAACUAGAGGCUUACUAGAAAAAUGAUUAGAAAAAUGUGUAGAAUUGGACUUGGAAUCCUAGUUGUGUCUAGCCCUAGAUAUUGUUUCUUGUUACUUGUCCCACUUUGGGGUGCCGUGACCCUCCUUAUAUAAGUCAUAAAGAACUCAUAUACUUAUUGCAAAAAUCUACAAGCCAUCAAAAACCAAGCACUACGCGCAUGCUCCUGUUAAAUUUGGAGUUACGAUUUAGAAGAUAUGAGUAUUUUAAAAAACAAUUGUUAUCGGCGCGUCAAACAUUGUUAUUCCUCAGAGGAAUAACAUUGUUAGCGCGGGGCGCAAACACUCUUACUCCCUCCCUCAGAACAUUGUUAUUAUCGUGGCUGACGCUAACAAUGUUAAUCACUGGAAUAACAUUGUUAUCGGUGCCUCAAACAUUGUUACUCCUCAGCACAAUAACAUUGUUACUACUGCCCUCAGAACAUUCUUACUCUCUCAGAACAUUGUAACAAUGUUCUGAGGGGAGUAGUAACAAUGUUAUUCUCUUGAGGAGUAACAAUGUUUGACGCACCGCCUCAAACAUUGUUACUCCUCAUCACAAUAACAUUGUUACUACUUCCCUCAGAACAUUGUUACUAACAAUGUUAUUCUGCUGAGGAGUAACAAUGUUUGACGCACCGAUAACAAUGUUAUUCCAGCNNNNNNNNNNNNNNNNNNNNNNNNNNNNNNNNNNNNNNNNNNNNNNNNNNNNNNNNNNNNNNNNNNNNNNNNNNNNNNNNNNNNNNNNNNNNNNNNNNNNNNNNNNNNNNNNNNNNNNNNNNNNNNNNNNNNNNNNNNNNNNNNNNNNNNNNNNNNNNNNNNNNNNNNNNNNNNNNNNNNNNNNNNNNNNNNNNNNNNNNNNNNNNNNNNNNNNNNNNNNNNNNNNNNNNNNNNNNNNNNNNNNNNNNNNNNNNNNNNNNNNNNNNNNNNNNNNNNNNNNNNNNNNNNNNNNNNNNNNNNNNNNNNNNNNNNNNNNNNNNNNNNNNNNNNNNNNNNNNNNNNNNNNNNNNNNNNNNNNNNNNNNNNNNNNNNNNNNNNNNNNNNNNNNNNNCGUACCCUCAUACCAUUACCCUUCUCCUUCUCCCCUCCAUUCCCCUUUCCCUCUCCGGUAAAAGGAAGGGGGUUUGAAUUGGACUUGGAAUCCUAGUAGGACUGGGGUUUGAAUUGGACUUGGAAUCCUAGUAGGAGGAGUCCUACUAGGAUUCCAAGUCCAAUUCAAACCCCCUUCCUUUUACCGGAGAGGGAAAGGGGAAUGGAGGGGAGAAGGAGAAGGAAAGGGGGCGCCACCCCAUUUCCUUCACUCCAAUUCGGAUCCCUUCCUUGUGAGGGGCGCACCAGCCCCUUGUGGGCUGGUUAGCCUCUCUGGAAGGGUGAGAGUAGAUUGGUAGGGAAAGACCAUCGCUCGUCCCCGACCGUCACUCAUAAGGAUGCACAAUCUAAGAACACCUCAUGUUUCAAAGAAAAUUUGGUGACAGAUCAAGCAUGUUCGAUUUUGAUGAACUAUAGCCACAUACAAAAUAUUCCCCAAUGAUAGAAACCUUCAUUUCCGAUAGAUGAAAUAAGUCUUAUUGUGCUGCAGAUUAGACAAUCAACCACCUUAGACAAUCAACGUGCUUGAUCUGUCACCAAAUUUUCUCAAAGGCAAGCGGGCAAAAAACCAGAGGUAACAAGGAGUACCAGAGGAGUUACCGGAACCCCCCGGUGGAAGAUAUGGGCCAUAUGGGCCAUAAGAGAGAGGCUAACCAUCCCACAAGGGGCUGGUGCGCUCCUCACAAGGAAGGGAUCCGAAUUGGAGUGGAGGAAAUGGGGUGGCACCCCCUUAACAAUGUUCUGAGGGAGGGAGUAACAGUGUUCUGAGGGAGGCAGUAACAGUGUUUGCGCCCCGCGCUAACAAUGUUAUUCCUCUGAGGAAUAACAAUGUUUGACGCACCGAUAACAACAAUGUUCUCGUGGCUGCGGUAACAAUGUUAAUCGCUGUAAUAACAUUGUUAUCGGUGCGUCAAACAUUGUUACUCCUCAGCAGAAUAACAUUGUUACUACUUCUCUCAAAACAUUGUUACUCCCUCUGAUGGUAACAAUGUUAAUCGCUGUAAUAACAUUGUUAUCGGUGCGUCAAACAUUGCUACUCCUUAGCAUAAUAUGCCGUCACGCCCGGUGGCUGCUAAAAAAACAAUUGUAGGGAUCCGAAUUGGAGUGGAGGAAAUGGGGUGGCGCCCCCUUUCCUUCUCCUGGGCCAUAAGAGAGAGGCUAACCAGCCCACAAGGGACUGGUGCGCCCCUCACAAGGAAGGGAUCCGAAUUGGAGUGGAGGAAAUGGGGUGGCGCCCCCUUUCCUUCUCCUUCUCCCCUCCAUUCCCCUUUCCCUGAGUUAUGUGUUUUGGUGACCGAAGGUUCUUCGGAGUCCUAAAGAGAGUGAGGUGGAGUGGAACGCCGUCACGCCCUGUGGCUGCUAAAAAAACAAUUGUUACCUCUGGUUUUUUGCCCGCUUGCCUUGAGAAAAUUUGGUGACAGAUCAAGCACGUUCGAUUUUGAUGAACUAUAAUAGCUCUAGGGCCAGGUGGGAAGAUCCCGUCUUAACUUUCUAUAAGAUCUGGAUUAGAUCUCUGCUAAUACACAAUCUGAGAACGAGUUUCUUUGCUUUAACGUGGUUGAUUGUCUAAUCUGCAGCACAAUAAGACUUAUUUCAUCUAUCGGAAAUGAAGGUUUCUAUCAUUGGGGAAUAUUUUGUAAGUUCAUCAAAAUCGAACAUGCUUGAUCUGUCACCAAAUUUCUUUGAAACAUGAGGUGUUCUUAGAUUGUGCAUCCUUAUGAGUGACAGUCGGGGACGAGCGAUGGUCUUUCCCUACCAAUCUACUCUCACCCUUCCAUCAUUGCUAGCCUCUUCGGUACCAUGCAUUGCCCUCUCUCACCUUGAGAGUUGGUGGUAACUUCGCCGGUGCAUCCAAACCCCGUGAUACCCAAAACUAGAACAAGAUAUGACGUUCGAUUUUGAUGAACUAUAGCCACAUACAAAAUAUUCCCCAAUGAUAGAAACCUUCAUUUCCGAUAGAUGAAAUAAGUCUUAUUGUGCUGCAGAUUAGACAAUCAACCACCUUAAAGCAAAGAAACUCGUUCUCAGAUUGUGUAUUAGCAGAGAUCUAAUCCAGAUCUUAUAGAAAGUUAAGAAGGGAUCUUCCCACCUGGCCCUAGAGCUAUUAUAGUUCAUCAAAAUCGAACGUGCUUGAUCUGUCACCAAAUUUUCUCAAGGCAAGCGGGCAAAAAACCACAGGUAACGAUUGUUUUUUUAGCAGCCACAGGGCGUGACGGCGUUCCACUCCACCUCACUCUCUUUAGGACUCCGAAGAACCUUCGGUCACCAAAACACAUAACUCAGGGAAAGGGGAAUGGAGGGGAGAAGGAGAAGGAAAGGGGGCGCCACCCCAUUUCCUCCACUCCAAUUCGGAUCCCUUCCUUGUGAGGGGCGCACCAGCCCCUUGUGGGCUGGUUAGCCUCUCUCUUAUGGCCCAGGAGAAGGAAAGGGGGCGCCACCCCAUUUCCUCCACUCCAAUUCGGAUCCCUACAAUUGUUUUUUUAGCAGCCACAGGGCGUGACAGCGUAUUCUGCUAAGGAGUAACAAUGUUUGACGCACCGAUAACAAUGUUAUUACAGUGAUUAACAUUGUUACCGUCAGAGGGAGUAACAAUGUUCUGAGGGAAGUAGUAACAAUGUAUUCUGAUGAGGAGUAACAAUGUUUGACACACUGAUAACUAUGUUAUUACAGCGAUUAACAUAGUUACCGUCAACCACGAGAACAUUGUUGUUAUCGGCGCGUCAAACAUUGUUAUUCCUCAGAGGAAUAACAUUGUUAGCGCGGGGCGCAAACACUGUUACUGCCUCCCUCAGAACACUGUUACUCCCUCCCUCAGAACAUUGUUAAGGGGGCGCCACCCCAUUUCCUCCACUCCAAUUCGGAUCCCUUCCUUGUGAGGAGCGCACCAGCCCCUUGUGGGCUGGUUAGCCUCUCUCUUAUGGCCCAUAUCUUCCACCGGGGGGGUUCCGGUAACCCCUCUGGUACUCCUUGUUACCUCUGAGGGACUAUAGCCACAUACAAAAUAUUCCCCAAUGAUAGAAACCUUCAUUUCCGAUAGAUGAAAUAAGUCUUAUUGUGCUGCAGAUUAGACAAUCAACCACCUUAAAGCAAAGAAACUCGUUCUCAGAUUGUGUAUUGGCAGAGAUCUAAUCCAGAUCUUAUAGAAAGUUAAGAAGGGAUCUUCCCACCUAUCCCUAGAGCUAUUAUAGUUCAUCAAAAUCGAAUGUGCUUGAUCUGUCACCAAAUUUUCUCAAGGCAAGCGGGCAAAAAACCAGAGGUAACAAUUGUUCUUUUAGCAGCCAUAGGGCGUGACGGCGUUCCACUCCACCUCACUCUCUUUAGGACUCCGAAGAACCUUCGGUCACCAAAACACAUAACUCAGGGGAAGGGGAAUGGAGGGGAGAAGGAGAAGGAAAGGGGGCGCCACCCCAUUUCCUCCACUACAAUUCGGAUCCCUUCCUUGUGAGGGGCGCACCAGCCCCUUGUGGGCUGGUUAGCCUCUCUCUUAUGGCCCAGGAGAAGGAAAGGGGGCGCCACCCCAUUUCCUCCACUCCAAUUCGGAUCCCAACAAUUGUUUUUUUAGCAGCCACAGGGCGUAACGGCAUAUUCUGCUAUGGAGUAACAAUGUUUGACGCACCGAUAACAAUGUUAUUACAGCGAUUAACAUUGUUACCGUCAGAGGGGUAACAAUGUUCUGAGGGAAGUAGUAACAAUGUUAUUCUGCUGAGGAGUAACAAUGUUUGAUGCACCGAUAACAAUGUUAUUACAGCGAUUAACAUUGUUACCGUCAGCCACGAGAACAUUGUUGUUAUCGGCGCAUCAAACAUUGUUAUUCCUCAGAGGAAUAACAUUGUUAGCGCGGGGCGCAAACACUGUUACUGCCUCACUCAGAACACUGUUACUCCCUCCCUCAGAACAUUGUUAAGGGGGCGCCACCCCAUUUCCUCCACUCCAAUUCGGAUCCCUUCCUUGUGAGGAGCGCACCAGCCCCUUGUGGGCUGGUUAGCCUCUCUCUUAUGGCCCAUAUGGCCCAUAUCUUCCACCGGGGGGGUUCCGGUAACCCCUCUGGUACUGCUUGUUACCUCUGAGGGACUAUAGCCACAUACAAAAUAUUCCCCAAUGAUAGAAACCUUCAUUUCUGAUAGAUGAAAUAAGUCUUAUUGUGCUGCAGAUUAGACAAUCAACCACCUUAAAGCGAAGAAACUCAUUCUCAGAUUGUGUAUUAGCAGAGAUCUAAUCCAGAUCUUAUAGAAAGUUAAGAAGGGAUCUUCCCACCUAUGCCUAGAGCUAUUAUAGUUCAUCAAAAUCGAACGUGCUUGAUCUGUCACCAAAUUUUCUCAAGGCAAGCCAGCAAAAAACCAGAGGUAACAAUUGUUUUUUUAGCAGCCACAGGGCGUGACGGCGUUCCACUCCACCUCACUCUCUUUAGGACUCCGAAGAACCUUCGGUCACCAAAACACAUAACUCAGGGAAAGGGGAAUGGAGGGGAGAAGGAGAAGGAAAGGGGGCGCCACCCCAUUUCCUCCACUACAAUUCAGAUCCCUUCCUUGCGAGGGGCGCACCAGCCCCUUGUGGGCUGGUUAGCCUCUCUCUUAUGGCUCAGGAGAAGGAAAGGGGGCGCCACCCCAUUUCCUCCACUCCAAUUCGGAUCCCUACAAUUGUUUUUUUAGCAGCCACAGGGCGUGACGGCGUAUUCUGCUAAGGAGUAACAAUGUUUGACGCACCGAUAACAAUGUUAUUACAGCGAUUAACAUUGUUACCGUCAGAGGGGUAACAAUGUUCUGAGGGAAGUAGUAACAAUGUUAUUCUGCUGAGGAGUAACAAUGUUUGACGCACCGAUAACAAUGUUAUUACAGCGAUUAACAUUGUUACCGUCAGCCACGAGAACAUUGUUGUUAUCGGCGCGUCAAACAUUGUUAUUCCUCAGAGGAAUAAAAUUGUUAGCGCGGGGCGCAAACACUGUUACUUCCUCACUCAGAACACUGUUACUCCCUCCCUCAGAACAUUGUUAAGGGGGCGCCACCCCAUUUCCUCCACUCCAAUUCGGAUCCCUUCCUUGUGAGGAGCGCACCAGCCCCUUGUGGGCUGGUUAGACUCUCUCUUAUGGCCCAUAUGGCCCAUAUCUUCCACCGGGGGGUUCCGGUAACCCCUCUGGUACUCCUUGUUACCUCUGAGGGACUAUAGCCACAUACAAAAUAUUCCCCAAUGAUAGAAACCUUCAUUUCCGAUAGAUGAAAUAAGUCUUAUUGUGCUGCAGAUUAGACAAUCAACCACCUUAAAGCAAAGAAACUCGUUCUCAGAUUGUGUAUUAGCAGAGAUCUAAUCCAGAUCUUAUAGAAAGUUAAGAAGGGAUCUUCCCACCUGGCCCUAGAGCUAUUAUAGUUCAUCAAAAUUGAACGUGCUUGAUCUGUCACCAAAUUUUCUCAAGGCAAGCAGGCAAAAAACCAGAGGUAACGAUUGUUUUUUUAGCAGCCACAGGGCACACCUCACUCUCUUUAGGACUCCGAAGAACCUUCGGUCACCAAAACACAUAACUCAGGGAAAGGGGAAUGGAGGGGAGAAGGAGAAGGAAAGGGGGUGCCACCCCAUUUCCUCCACUCCAAUUCGGAUCCCUUUCUUGUGAGGGGCGCACCAGCCCCUUGUGGGCUGGUUAGCCUCUCUCUUAUGGCCCAGGAGAAGGAAAGGGGGCGCCACCCCAUUUCCUCCACUCCAAUUCGGAUCCCUACAAUUGUUUUUUUAGCAGCCACAGAGCGUGACGGCGUAUUCUGCUAAGGAGUAACAAUGUUUGACGCACCGAUAACAAUGUUAUUAAAGCGAUUAACAUUGUUACCGUCAGAGGGAGUAACAAUGUUCUGAGGGAAGUAGUAACAAUGUUAUUCUGCUGAGGAGUAACAAAGUUUGACGCAUCGAUAACAAUAUUAUUACAGUGAUUAACAUUGUUACCGUCAGCCACGAGAACAUUGUUGUUAUCGGCGCGUCAAACAUUGUUAUUCCUUAGAGGAAUAACAUUGUUAGCGCGGGGCGCGACCACUGUUACUGCCUCCCUAAGAACAAUGUUACUCCCUCCCUCAGAACAUUUUUAGGGGGCCGCCACCCCAUUUCCUCCACUCCAAUUCGGAUCCCUUCAUUGUGAGGAGCGCACCAGCCCCUUGUGGGCUGGUUAGCCUCUCUCUUAUGGCCCAUAUGGCCCAUAUCUUCCACCGGGGGGUUCCGGUAACCCCUUUGGUACUCCUUGUUACCUCUGAGGGACUAUAGCCACAUACAAAAUAUUCCCUAAUGAUAGAAACCUUCAUUUCCGAUAGAUGAAAUAAGUCUUAUUGUGCUGCAGAUUAGACAAUCAACCACGUUAAAGCAAAGAAACUCGUUCUCAGAUUGUGUAUUAGCAGAGAUCUAAUCCAGAUCUUAUAGAAAGUUAAGAAGGGAUCUUCCCACCUGGCCCUAGAGCUAUUAUAGUUCAUCAAAAUCGAACGUGCUUGAUCUGUCACCAAAUUUUCUCAAGGCAAGCAGGCAAAAAACCAGAGGUAACGAUUGUUUUUUUAGCAGCCACAGGGCACACCUCACUCUCUUUAGGACUCCGAAGAACCUUCGGUCACCAAAACACAUAACUCAGGGAAAGGGGAAUGGAGGGGAGAAGGAGAAGGAAAGGGGGUGCCACCCCAUUUCCUCCACUCCAAUUCGGAUCCCUUCCUUGUGAGGGGCGCACCAGCCCCUUGUGGGCUGGUUAGCCUCUCUCUUAUGGCCCAGGAGAAGGAAAGGGGGCGCCACCCCAUUUCCUCCACUCCAAUUCGGAUCCCUACAAUUGUUUUUUUAGCAGCCACAGAGCGUGACGGCGUAUUCUGCUAAGGAGUAACAAUGUUUGACGCACCGAUAACAAUGUUAUUAAAGCGAUUAACAUUGUUACCGUCAGAGGGAGUAACAAUGUUCUGAGGGAAGUAGUAACAAUGUUAUUCUGCUGAGGAGUAACAAAGUUUGACGCAUCGAUAACAAUAUUAUUACAGUGAUUAACAUUGUUACCGUCAGCCACGAGAACAUUGUUGUUAUCGGCGCGUCAAACAUUGUUAUUCCUUAGAGGAAUAACAUUGUUAGCGCGGGGCGCGACCACUGUUACUGCCUCCCUAAGAACAAUGUUACUCCCUCCCUCAGAACAUUUUUAGGGGGCCGCCACCCCAUUUCCUCCACUCCAAUUCGGAUCCCUUCAUUGUGAGGAGCGCACCAGCCCCUUGUGGGCUGGUUAGCCUCUCUCUUAUGGCCCAUAUGGCCCAUAUCUUCCACCGGGGGGUUCCGGUAACCCCUCUGGUACUCCUUGUUACCUCUGAGGGACUAUAGCCACAUACAAAAUAUUCCCUAAUGAUAGAAACCUUCAUUUCCGAUAGAUGAAAUAAGUCUUAUUGUGCUGCAGAUUAGACAAUCAACCACCUUAAAGCAAAGAAACUCGUUCUCAGAUUGUGUAUUAGCAGAGAUCUAAUCCAGAUCUUAUAGAAAGUUAAGAAGGCAUCUUCCCACCUGGCCCUAGAGCUAUUAUAGUUCAUCAAAAUCGAACGUGCUUGAUCUGUCACCAAAGUUUCUCAAGGCAAGCGGGCAAAAAACCAGAGGUAACAAUUGUUUUUUUAGCAGCCACAGGACGUGACGGCGUUCCACUGCACCUCACUCUCUUUAGGACUCUGAAGAACCUUCGGUCACCAAAACACAUAACUCAGGGAAAGGGGAAUGGAGGGGAGAAGGAGAAGGAAAGGGGGCGCCACCCCAUUUCCUCCACUCCAAUUCGGAUCCCUUCCUUGUGAGGGGCGCACCAGCCCCUUGUGGGCUGGUUAGCCUCUCUCUUAUGGCCCAGGAGAAGGAAAGGGGGCGCCACCCCAUUUCCUCCACUCCAAUUCGGAUCCCUACAAUUGUUUUUUUAGUAGCCACAGGGCGUGACGGCGUAUUCUGCUAAGGAGUAACAAUGUUUGACGCACUGAUAACAAUGUUAUUACAGCGAUUAACAUUGUUACCGUCAGAGGGCGUAACAAUGUUCUGAGGGAAGUAGUACAAUGUUAUUCUGCUGAGGAGUAACAAUGUUUGACGCACCAAUAACAAUGUUAUUACAGCGAUUAGACAAUCAACCACCUUAAAGCAAAGAAACUCGUUCUCAGAUUGUGUAUUAGCAGAGAUCUAAUCCAGAUCUUAUAGAAAUUUAAGAAGGGAUCUUCCCACCUGGCCCUAGAGCUAUUAUAGUUCAUCAAAAUCGAACGUGCUUGAUCUGUCACCAAAUUUUCUCAAGGCAAGCCAGCAAAAAACCAGAGGUAACAAUUGUUUUUUUAGCAGCCACAGGGCGUGACGGCGUUCCACUCCACCUCACUCUCUUUAGGACUCCGAAGAACCUUCGGUCACCAAAACACAUAACUCAGGGAAAGGGGAAUGGAGGGGAGAAGGAGAAGGAAAGGGGGCGCCACCCCAUUUCCUCCACUACAAUUCAGAUCCCUUCCUUGCGAGGGGCGCACCAGCCCCUUGUGGGCUGGUUAGCCUCUCUCUUAUGGCUCAGGAGAAGGAAAGGGGGCGCCACCCCAUUUCCUCCACUCCAAUUCGGAUCCCUACAAUUGUUUUUUUAGCAGCCACAGGGCGUGACGGCGUAUUCUGCUAAGGAGUAACAAUGUUUGACGCACCGAUAACAAUGUUAUUACAGCGAUUAACAUUGUUACCGUCAGAGGGAGUAACAAUGUUCUGAGGGAAGUAGUAACAAUGUUAUUCUGCUGAGGAGUAACAAUGUUUGACGCACCGAUAACAAUAUUAUUACAGCGAUUAACAUUGUUACCGUCAGCCACGAGAACAUUGUUGUUAUCGGCGCGUCAAACAUUGUUAUUCCUCAGAGGAAUAACAUUGUUAGCGCGGGGCGCAACCACUGUUACUGCCUCCCUAAGAACACUAUUACUCCCUCCCUCAGAACAUUGUUAAGGGGCCGCCACCCCAUUUCCUCCACUCCAAUUCGGAUCCCUUCAUUGUGAGGAGCGCACCAGCCCCUUAUGGGCUGGUUAGCCUCUCUCUUAUGGCCCAUAUGGCCCAUAUCUUCCACCGGGGGGUUCCGGUAACCCCUCUGGUACUCCUUGUUACCUCUGAGGGACUAUAGCCACAUACAAAAUAUUCCCCAAUGAUAGAAACCUUCAUUUCCGAUAGAUGAAAUAAGUCUUAUUGUGCUGCAGAUUAGACAAUCAACCACCUUAAAGCAAAGAAACUCGUUCUCAGAUUGUGUAUUAGCAGAGAUCUAAUCCAGAUCUUAUAGAAAGUUAAGAAGGGAUCUUCCCACCUGGCCCUAGAGCUAUUAUAGUUCAUCAAAAUCGAAUGUGCUUGAUCUGUCACCAAAUUUUCUCAAGGCAAGCGGGCAAAAAACCAGAGGUAACUUUUGUUUUUUUAGCAGCCACAGGGCGUGACGGCGUUCCACUCCACCUCACUCUCUUUAGGACUCCGAAGAACCUUCGGUCACCAAAACACAUAACUCAGGGAAAGGGGAAUGGAGGGGAGAAGGAGAAGGAAAGGGGGCGCCACCCCAUUUCCUCCACUCCAAUUCGGAUCCCUUCCUUGUGAGGGGCGCACCAGCCCCUUGUGGGCUGGUUAGCCUCUCUCUUAUGGCCCAUAUGGCACAUAUCUUCCACCGGGGGGUUCCGGUAACCCCUCUGGUACUCCUUGUUGGUGUCAAAACCGGCGGAUCUUGGGCAGGGGGUCCCGAACUGUGCGUCUAGGCGGAUGGUAACAGGAGACAGGGGACAUGAUGUUUUACCCAGGUUCGAGCCCUCUUGAUGGAGGUAAAACCCUACGUCCUGCGUGAUUAAUAUUGAUGAUGUGUAUUACAAGAGUGGAUCUACCACGAGAUCAAGGAGGCUAAACCCUAGAAGCUAGCCGGAUGCGGGGGCUUCGGCGCCCUUAAACAGCAACCUCCAUUACAACAAUCAUACCAUAGGCUAGCUUCUAGGGUUUAGCCUCCUUGAUCUCGUGGUAGAUCCACUCUUGUAAUACACAUCAUCAAUAUUAAUCACGCAGGACGUAGGGUUUUACCUCCAUCAAGAGGGCUCGAACCUGGGUAAAACAUCGUGUCCCCUGUCUCCUGUUACCAUCCGCCUAGACGCACAGUUCGGGACCCCCUGCCCAAGAUCCGCCGGUUUUGACACCAACAAGGAGUACCAGAGGGGUUACCGGAACCCCCCGGUGGAAGAUAUGUGCCAUAUGGGCCAUAAGAGAGAGGCUAACCAGCCCACAAGGGGCUGGUGCGCCCCUCACAAGGAAGGCAUCCGAAUUGGAGUGAAGGAAAUGGGGUGGCGCCCCCUUUCCUUCUCCUUCUCCCCUCCAUUCCCCUUUCCCUCUCCGGUAAAAGGAAGGGGGUUAGAAUUGGACUUGGAAUCAGAAUGAAAAUUAAGCACAGAUAACAAUGUUAUUACAGCGAUUAACAUUGUUACCGUCAGCCACGAGAACAUUGUUGUUAUCGGCGCGUCAAACAUUGUUAUUCCUCAGAGGAAUAACAUUGUUAGCGCGGGGCACAAGCACUGUUACUCCCUCCUUCAGAACAAUGUUACUCCCUCCCUCAGAACAUUGUUAUUAUCGUGGCUGACGCUAACAAUGUUAAUCGCUGGAAUAACAUUGUUGUCGGUGCGUCAAAGAUUGUUACUCCUCAGCACAAUAACAUUGUUACUAAUUCCCUCAGAACAUUGUUACUCUCUGAGAACAUUGUAACAAUGUUCUCUAGGGCCAUAUGGAGGGGAGAAGGAGAAGGGUAAAGGUGUUGAUGUAGAAGCCCUCCGUAGGGGGGGUUUCGAAAAAUGUAAAAUAACGAUUCGGGUGUGACUUAAAUCCGGACGGCAGGUUGAUUUCAAGAAAAAACAGAGACUUACGGGAAGUAGUAACAAUGUUAUUCUGCUGAGGUGUAACAAUGUUUGACGUACAGAUAACAAUGUUAUUCUAGAGACUAACAUUGUUAGCGUAAUAACAUUGUUAUCGGUGCAUCAAACAUUGUUACUCGUCAGCAGAAUAACAUUAUUAUAAUAACAUUGUUAGCUGGGGCGCAAACACGUGACUCCCUCCCUCAGAACAUUGUUAUUAUCGUGGCUGACGCUGACAAUGUAAACGCUGGAAUAACAUUGUUAUCGGUGCCUCAAACAUUGUUACUCCUCAGCAGAAUAACAUUGUUAUCGGCCCAUAUCUUCCACCGGGGGGUUCCGGUAACCCCUCUGGUACUCCUCGUCAUGUCUGUGAUCUCAUUUAGGACUCCGAAGAACCUUCGGUCACCAAAACACAUAACUCAUACAGGAAGAGGACCGGAAGCAGUGAGACUUGAGAGUGAGGUGGAGUGGAACGUCGUCACGCCCUGCGGCUGCUAAAAAAACAAUUGUUACCUCUGGUUUUUUGCCCGCUUGCCUUGAGAAAAUUUGGUGACAGAAGAACCUUCGGUCACCAAAACACAAAGUUACGAUUCCCGAACUGGACUUUGUUGCGUCCUCCGUCAGCUACCCGAAAGACAUUGUUAGGGAUCCUGUUGUCACCAUCCAUGUCCCAGCUAAAUGAACACCGUGGUUCCCGACCGUGCGCCAUCCGGGGAACAUUGUUAUCCAAAACAUUGUUAGCGACCUUGCAAUGCGGAUAUAAACAUUGUUACGUACAUAACAUUGUUACUGAAACAUUGUUGUGGACCCAGCAUAUUUACAUAUGCCUGGUCGGAAAACAAUGUAACGGACCAGAGGCUGUACCGGUAGAAGCAUUAACAAGGGAAAAUUUGGAUUACGUACUAUUUGUGAGAUACGUUUUCAAACCAUAUAGUUUUGUUUAUAUAAGUCUUAUAAGCUCUUUUAUUAAGGAAGAUACACUCGCCAGGAACAAUGUUACGGGUGUCAGAUGUAUUCAAGAGUAGGCUGUGAAGGCAGAACCGGACCUUCUAAGUAAAGUUAUGAUUCCCGAAUUGGAGUUUGCUGCAUCCACCGUCGGCUACCCGAAAGACAUUGUUAGGGAUCCUGUUGUCACCAUCCAUGGCCCACCUAAAGGAACAUCAUGAUUCCCGACCGUGCGCCAUCUGGGAACACUGUUAUGCCAAACAAUAUUACCGACCUUGCAUUGCGGAUAUGAAACAUGGUUACCGACCUUGCAUUGCGCACAGAAAACAUUGUUACGUAUUAUUUGUGAGUUACGUUUUCAAACCAUAUAGUUUUGUUUAUAUAAGUCUUAUAAGCUCUUUUAUUAAGGAAGAUACACUCGCCAGGAACAAUGUUAUGGGUUUCGGAUGUAUUCAAGAGUAGGCUGUGAAGGCAGAACCGGACCUUCUAAACAAAGUUACGAUUCCCGAAUUGGAGUUUCCUGAGUCCACCGUCGGCUACCCGAAAAACAUUGUUAGGGAUCCUGUUGUCACCAUCCAUGGCCCAGCUAAAGGAACAGCAUGGCUCCCGACCGUGCGCCAUCCGGGAACAUUGUUACCGACCUUGCAUUUCGGAUAUCAGACAUUGCGGACAAAAAACAUUGUUACCGAAACAAUGUUAUGGACCCAGCAUAUUUACAUAAGCCUGGUCGUACAACAAUGUAAGAGACCAGAGGCAGUACCAGGGCAAGCAUCAACACGGGAACAUUUGGAUUACGUUCUAUUUGUGAGUGACGUUUUAAAAUCAUAUAGUUUUGUUUAUAUAAGUCUUAUAAGCUCUUGUAUUAAGGAAGAUACACUCGCCAAGAACAAUGUUACGGGUUUCGGAUGUAUUCAAGCGUAGGCUGUGAAGAAGGAACCGGACCUUCUAAACAAAGUUACGAUUCCCGAAUUGGAGUUUGCUGCGUCCACCGUCGGCUACCCGAAAGACAUUGUUAGGGAUCCUAUUGUCACCAUCCAUGGCCCAGCUAAGGGUGUGUUUGGUCACUUUGUGCAUUUGAAAACCGAACCGAAAAACCAUAUCGAAAAUAAACCGAACCGAACCGAUUUUAUGGUUUUUAUGGUUUCUGGUUUCAGUAUGGUAUGAACUUUUCAUACCGAUUUGAACUUUGGUUUCUAUGGUAUAUACCAAAAAACUGAACGGUUAACGGAAUAAACCGAAGUAAAAAAUAAAUUUAUAUUUCUUGAGAUGAACAACCAUAAAAGUUGUCAUUUUUCUUGUACAUGAGUUAAAUUCACUACUAAGAACGUAAAUUUUCUUGUAACAUAGUCAUUUUUCUCCUUUUAAAAUGCUAAGCACGUCCAUAACCAUCAACAGAUGAAUCAAAACAUUCAUAUAUACUUAUAUAUAUGUAGUCAUAUACUAUUUGUGUAAAAUAGUAUGUGUUUUGAGUCAUAAAUUUGCAAAUUAUUAUACGUCAUUUUCAAAUGCGCGUCAACUUUGGUUUUUAUGGUAUAUACCGAAACCAUACCGAAAUAAUUUGGUAUAUACCGAAACCAAACACUAUUUUAUUUUCAUACCGUAUUUACCGAAGUAUUAAUACCAUACAAAUCGAAAAACCGUAUACACCGCACCAUGUAAACCGAAUAAACCGAACGCACAAGGUGACUGUUUGGUUUCUGUCACGAAGUGGAACAUCAUGGGUCGGACCUGCACCAGAGCCUCGUUCAUGCGUUUGGUUCGUAGGUGGAACGGGAACCAAGUCGUGGCACAGUUGACGCAAAGUACCAGUGGCAGAAAUUAAAUUUGUGACCGGUUCUUUCUUCGUCUUUCUUAAACAGCGUGUACAGCCAGUUCAUCAAAAAACUACUAUUUCCGACGACUUUCCUGAUGAACAGUCUAUUGGAGGUCGUCUUUCCCCAUUCCUCGUCCAACCCCUUCACAUGCAUGCAACGCUCAGUGGUGUGUUCAACGGUCGCAAGGGCCGUCCGGAUUCCCGAAUGAGCUCCUAGUGUGAUUAAACUGCUCAGCUUCUCCAUGCAUGCACCUAGGAAGUCGAUCCGUCGAGAGUGUAAACACGCUGCACGCGCAUUGGUUCCAGUGAAUGAGGUACAGUGCCAUCGCUGGUUCUCUGCCAUAUAAACCCAAGCGCGCGCCGGCCGCCGUCCCGUCUCCGUCACUAGAGGUUUGCAGCCAUCUACUUCUAAACAUUGAGAAAAUCUUGGAGCAUGCGCUCGAUGGACGCCGCCGACGAGCUGAAGCGUGCACGCGGCGGCGGCGGCAAGCAAUCCGUGGACCGGCUGAGCGCCCUGCCGGACGACCUCCUGCACGCCGUCCUUUCGCGCCUCAAGGCCCGUCAGGUGGUGCGGACGUGCGUGCUGUCCACGCGGUGGAGGCACCUCUGGCGCUCCGUGCCGUGCCUCCGCAUCGACCAGCGACGGCUUCCUCCUCAAGCGGCAAAGAUUCAAGAACUUUGCUCACAUCGUGCUGCGACGCCACGAUGCUGCGUUCCUAGAACAAUUUCGGCUGCAUGUAGGUUUUGGCUGUGAUUUUUUGAGUCGAUAUGCUGAGAGCUGGGUCCGCCACGGCAUAAGUCAGGAUGAGACAUGGCCUUGCCGGCUCAAAAGGUUGCAUGUUAACAACGUGUGUUUGGACAGUUAUUUUGCCAGGCACAUCAGUUCGCGGUGCCCUGCCCUUGAGGACAUGCGACUGAAAAACUGCAGCUUCUUGCUCACCGAGGACAUCAGGUUUACCUCCGCUUCCCUAAAGAAAGUGGUUAUCAUCGGCUUCCGUGUGCUGGAAAAUAAUCCUUUCGGGCUGAUUUUGGAGGCUCCUGCCCUUGCUUCACUCCGCCUGACUGGGCAUCAUCGUCACAUUUGCGGUAGUUGGCCACAAGAUUGCAUGCCAUCUCUUGUCGAUGCAUCGAUCCAACUGACUGUGUGGAAUUGGUUCAAUUACAACAACAACGAAGAUAACGACCUGAUUGAGAUGCAAUUGUCUUUGCUCGACGAGCUUUUCAAUGUGAUGAGUUUGCAUUUGUCUCGUUUCGGUGUCAUGGUACGUACACCUAAUUAUUCAGAUUGCAUCUCUUUUGUUUAUAGCCAUUUAACGAUAUUUUUUUAAUGAUAUGUAUGAUUUAGUUUCUUGUUCUUGGUGAUGAUCCUGGUCUGUAUUUCCCCAAGUUCAAAAACCUCAAGACGUUGUCCCUGGAGGAUUGUGAUAUCAGUGAUGACUUCCUCACGCUGAAGCAAUUCCUGCGGAACUCACCUAAUUUGGAGAAGCUCAUGUUGCGCUGUUGCAAGGUACUGCUGCUGCUGCUGCUGCUGCUGCUGCUACUACUACUACUACUUUCCUAACUCAGUUUAGUAUGUAAUAUUAAUUCUUUUAUACUGCCAACAGCUCUUAGAUCCCAGACCAAAAAGAUAUACAAAGGAGAUAAUGGGAAAAGCUCACUCAGAUUGUUGAGUGCAAGAACCUCAGGCUCACUGAAAUCAUAUACCCGAAGUAUGACAAUCAUCAUGUCCACCUAUUGGUCAUGUUUUUGUUAGGCAUGUCAAAGAAUAUGCCAAACAAUAAGAUUGAGAUCACUAGAGUCAAUUAGCAAUACCAUAUCCAUAUGUCAGCUUGUCCAGAAACUACUAUGUUGUCUAUCGUUUGAUGUCUUUCUAGUUUAGAUGUCAUAUUGGAUCGCCGGUUUUACAUUUUGUUUUUUCUUGAAGUCCAAGCUUUGAUUGUGUCUUAUGCAGUUUAUGGAAGGACAUUAUCUAUCGUUUGCUGACUUCCCAGUUUGCAUGUUGUAAUAUGUAUAAUCAGGUUUUCCUUGCAGGGCUUGGGUUUGAUUUUUUACUUCGGGAAAGCAAGUGCAGUUUUUUGACAUGCAAAAUUCAUAUGCAUGAUCAUGUAGUGUUUUGGUUCUACAAAGGGAGCUUGUAGUGGUUGGUUGAGGAGACUCCUUUUUUCUUCUUUGCAGAUGGAAAAAGAUAAUAUUUAUGUGUUGUUGCUGCUGAUGAUCAGUUCCAUUCGAAUUACAGCCCGUUUACAUACAAGUCUGCUAUAGAUGUGUCCCCUAUCUUGUAUUCUCCUGAGGAUUUCAUAAAGCCUGUUUUCAUCAGGAAAUAAUAACUUUAUGUCUCAUUCUCAACAGAUACGAAAUGGAGUAUCUCAUGCUUUCAUUGGUCCAUACCGUGGGAGUAAUAGCAUAUCCCACAAUUUUUUCUACAGUGUCAUGUAUAUGGAGGAUUCGAGCUGUUUUUUGAGGAUCCCAUAAAACCGGUCAAUGCCAGAGCACAUGGUCGGCGCCGCCCCAUGCGAGUAGUGAGCAGGUGGAGGGGCUCAGCCGUGGAGGGCUGGAGCAUCGCCAGAGCACGCGGCUGGCUGAUGUAGGGAAACGUAGCAUGCAAUUUCAAAAAAAAAAUCAUACGCUCACCAAAGAUCUAUCUAGGAGAUGCAUAGCAACAAGAGGGGCAUAGUGUGUCCUGGUACCCUUGUAGACCGAAAGCGGAAGCGUUUGACAACGCGGUUGACGUAGUCAAACUUAUACUUACUCGUUCCGACUUAUCAAGCACCGAACGUACGACACCUCUGAGUUCUGCACAUGUUCAGCUUGAUGACAUUCCUCGAACUCUUGAUCCAGCAAAGUGCGUGUAUUUUGGUUGGGCUUUCAAACGAUGGUGUUAGGAUGUUAUGCAUGCAUGAAAUGGUUAAAGAUAAUUGAAAUGGUUAUCACAACCGCGGAUUAUUUUGAACAACUCCAAAUAACCUGAGACAUCUUAGGGGUUUGAAGAUGUUUGUUCGUACUCACAAUUCCUUUUUGUAAGUGGGUUAGAUCAUCGCAAGAUUGAACCCAUUACAAAUCACCACUCCCUCUGAAUAGAAACCCGUCGAACAUGGCCAAAGAAGACAUGUAGAUCGGAGAGCAGGUGGGGCCGACACGACCAAGUGACGUGCCCUGCCCCCUGGGCACGUUGGGUUGCUGUGUGGGCCCCUGCUGCUCGUCACGACCUCUCCCGAUGCUCUCUAGGGUUCCUAGUUGCCCCAAAAAAUCAUGAAGCUGGUGCGCGAAGGGGAGACUAGCAACUGCUCCCACACGCGUUGAUUUCCACAUAUGUACAAUGGAAUAAUCCAUUAUCACGAAAAACUUGUUUUUUCAUUCCCAGUAAACGAACGGCCUAUCGCUUAACACGGGGCGACUUCCAUCGAUCUUAUAGUUUAACACAGUCAUCGGAUCGCUGACCAGUUUACGCUUAUUGUGACAGCCAGUUUUCGGCUUUCUCCACUGGUGCGCUUAAUCAUGCAAGCUGGAAGCACAAUCGCAGUAGUUCUCCCUUUGCAUACCUAGCCAAAGAAAGCAGAACGUAGGAGGCAAGCACAGGAGCCGAGCUACCCAACUAUUGACCAAAGACACAAUUCGAAACCAAUGCAUAUAAAGCAAUAUCCGAGAAUGUUUUUUGCCGAAUCUCUAAAGGUGUCCGGCGUUGCACUGCGAGACUUAUGCUGGAAACACACAAAUAGUUUAAAAGUACCAUAAGCUUGGAGAAUCAAAAAACUGCAGUAAAAACUUGACGUCCGAACUAGAUCAAGUGUUCGGUGCCAAUCCGAAAAUUGGCCUUAGAAAAAAAUUGUGCUUCUUUCGUGCUUUAACAUGACACAUCCUAUCUCGAGACUUCACGCGGGUCAGCCUAUGGCUUCAACCUCCUAGGGGGAAUCAAUUUUUUUCGCGUAAUUAGGUGGCACUUCCUUGCGUGUGAAGGUGUUUUAUGGUUUUUUAUUUCUUCUUUUUUGAGUUAGAAUAAAAAGAAAAAAUUAGGUCAUGUUUUUGUUGGGCAUGUCAAAGAAUAUGCCAAACAAUAAGAUUGAGAUCACUAGAGUCAAUUAGCAAUACCAUAUCUAUAUGUCAGCUUGUCCAGAAACUACUAUGUUGUCUAUCGUUUGAUGUCUUUUCUAGUUUAGAUGUCAUAUCGGAUCGCCGAAUUUACAUUUUGUUCUUUCUUGAAGCCCAAGCUUUGAUUGUGUCUUAUGGAGUUCAUUGAAGGACAUUAUCUAUCGUUUGCUGACUUCCCAGUUUGCAUGUUGUAAUAUGUAUAAUCAGGUUUUCCUUGCAGGGCUUGGGUUUGAUUUUUUACUUCGGGAAAGCAAGUGCAGUUUUUUGACAUGCAAAAUUAAUAUGCAUGAUCAUGUAGUGUUUUGGUUCUACAAAGGGAGCUUGUAGUGGUUGGUUGAGGAGACUCCUUUUUUCUUCUUUGCAGAUGGAAAAAGAUAAUAUUUAUGUGUUGUUGCUGCUGAUGAUCAGUUCCAUUCGAAUUACAG